UAGUAGGUCUUGUGUGCUAUUAGGAGCACGGAGGCCUUCGUGCUCCUUAGCCGUUUUCGAUGAUGGAGCUUCCGAAUCGACGAUCGGUUCCGUUAGACUUGAUCUAGCAUAUUUAAAGUAUCUAGAAAAUAAAUUGUGACUUUUCGAUAUCACUACCUAACGAUCGAAAGGGUUCAAAAUCAACGGCUGAAAAUAAAAAUCUCAUAAAAAGUGGUGAUAUAGCAUUAAAAUUUUCGAUCAGACAUAUUGAUCUUACUGUAAAUAGUAUAAAGAAUUUUCUAUCAAAAUUUUAUCUGAUUUGAGUACUUCUACACCGUUAAACUUGAAAACGGCAUACAUCAACCAUUGAAAAUUGUUGAUUUUAAAUCCUUGCUAGGUAAAUGAUACCGAAAAAUAGCAAAAAAUAUUUUCUAGAUAGUUCAAAUGUGCUAGAUCAAGUCUAACGGAGCCGAUCGUCGAUUCGCAAAUCAUCGAAAACGGCUCAGGAGCACGGAGGCCUCCGUGCUCCUGAGAGCACAGCAGCCCUUCUCUAUAUAAAUGAUCGGCUCCGUUAGACUUGAUCUAGCGCAUUUGAACUAUCUAGAAAAUAAUUUUUGCGAUUUUUCGGUAUCAUUUACCUAGCAAUCGAAAGGAUUUAAAAUCAACAAUUUUUAAUGGUUGAUGUAUGCCGUUUUCAAGUUUAACGGUGUAGAAGUAUUCAAAUCAGAUGAAAUUUUGAUACAAAAUUUUUUAUACUAUCUAUAACAAGAUCAAUAUUUUUGAUUGAAAAUUUUAGUGCUAUAUCACCACUUUUUAUAGGAUUUUUAUUUUCAGCCGUUAAAAAUUAUUGAUUUUGAAUCAUUUCGAUUGCUAGGUAAAUGAUGUCGAAAAAUCGCAAAAAUUAUUUUUUAGAAACUUCAAAUAAGCUAGAUCAAGUUUAACGGAGCCGAUCGUUGAUUCGGAAACUCCAACAUCGAAAAUGGCUCAGGAGCACGGAGGCCUCCGUGCUCCUGAGAGCACAGCAGUGCUGCUCUAUAUAUAUAUAUAGUUGAGCUAGAAUACUAUCGAUAGCAAACGGGCUCUGUUGCCACCCAUUUGUUUUCGAUGAUAGAGCCUCCAAAUCGACGAUCGGCACCGUUAAACAUGAUCUAUACCACUUGAAGUGUUUAGAAAUCAAAUUUCAAAUCUUUUCGAAAUCACCUAAUGAUCAAAGGGUUUCAAAAUUUGUAAUUUUAAUGGUCGAUAUGAGGCGUUUUCUCGUUUAACGGCGUAAAGAUAUCCAAAUCAAUUGAAUUUUUGUUAGAAAAUUCUUUAAACUAUCUAAAACAAGAUUUAUACUCUUGAUCUUGAUUACAAGACUCCUAUCAUUGUUUUUUAAAGAAUAUUCAUUUUCAACCGUUAAUUUUUGUGUCCACUCAGCAUGGAUUAAGCACAGAGAACAAUAUUAGAAAUGUAUGAAAAUUAGAUUCUAAACACUUCAAGUGGUAUAGACAUGUUAAUGGUGCGCGAUCGUCGAUUCGGAGGCAUCAUUCGAACAAAUGGCGGCAACGGAGCCCGUUUGUUUCGAUGAUAGCUUAGGUUGGUAUAAAUAUCGGUUAGAGCUAGGCUGGUACUACUUAUCGGUAGCAUGGAGGCCUCCGUGCUACCAAGUUGUUUUCAAUGAUGCGGUUCCGAAUCGACGAUCGACUUCAUUAGACUUGAUUUAUACUAUUGAAAGUAUUGGAAACUAACUUUUCAUAAUUUUUCGGUAUCAUUUACCUAUCAAACGAGUAGUCUAAAAAUGAACGGCUGAAAUAAAAAUUUUAUAAAAAUGAUGAUAAAUGACUUGAAUAUAAGAUCAGAGGUACUGAUCUUACUCUAAUAGUAAAAAGAAUUUUUAUAAAAAAUCAUCAGAUUUGGAUUGUUUUACACCGUUAAAUUCACAAAGCAUCACAUCUACCAUUAAAAUUGUCAAUUGAGACACCUUUUGAUCACUAGGCUAAAUGAUGUCUGAAAAAUUAUGAAAUUAGUUUCUAAAUAUUUUUUAAAUAGUGUAGAUCAGUCUAACAGAGCGAUCGUCGAUUCGAAAGCCGCAUCAUUGAAAACAACUUGGUAGCACGGAGGCCUCCGUGCUACAUAGUAUACAGCUAGCUCUCUCUCUCUCUCUCUCUCUCUCUGUCUCUUCCUCUCUCUUCUCUCUAUAUAUAUAUAUAUAUAUAUAUAUAUCCUUGCAAAAUCAAUAAAUCAUCUAGUAAUUUGCACUCUGUAUUCAUCUUCUAUAUACCCAUUGAUUGUGUAAUUUCUUACAAAAAGUAAUCCUUAUCUUGGUUAUCUGUAAGAUUUUUUUGAAAAGUGAUAUUUUAUAAUUACAAAAAAUUCAGUGAAAAAAAAACUUCUGAAGAAUGUAAAUGAAGAUUUAGUUUUUGCAGAGAUAUAUUUGUCAAAAGAAGAUGCUGCGAUGGUAUGUAUGCCUUUAUUUCCAAGUGUUAUGUUGACUGAUGGGGUACGUGACAAUUGUAAUUCCAGGUUCUCUUCCUGCAUGUGGAUCCUGCUGUGGUUAAAGUAUUUGGAGGCAUUAUGUUUGCUUUUGCUGCUGCUGCUGAAAGGAAAUAAUGAAUUGAUCUGGUUUGGAGAAAAUGUUACUAAUAACUCAAGAUAAUAUGUAAAUCAAGCUUCUGUGACAAAUGUGCGGGCAGUUGUGUGGUGUUCUUUUCAGUUGUGUGACCUUCUUUUCAUUUCUUAAAUCACGCUUAAGUGAUAAAUAUGUGGACAGUUGUAUGAUCUACUUUUCAUUUCGCAAGUUGCCUAGGACUGAUUGGGGAGUAGAUCAAUAAUAAAAUAAUGAAACUACUACAACAAUAAAAAUAUAUGAGAAAUGUACAACUAUUAAGCUUCUAGUAAGAUAUCAAUAUGCCAAGUUGUGUAGAUAUCCAAGGAAAGAUUUACUCAUGUUAUUUUCUUAACUCUAGCCAAAUUAUUAAUUUAGUUUUAAUUCUAUUUUAAACACCUCAUGGAGAGCGGAGGGUAAUAGAAACUCUUUCCAAUCGAUAAUCACUUGGGGCUGAGGGUGAUGGUACGAUCCAAGUUAAGGCAUAGUGUUGGAUUUUAUCCAUUGAUAAAUUUUGAUGAUAACAAAUAAAUUUUACCGGCCGUCUCUAGAGCAAGUGGCAAAGGGCUUGGUGGUUGGCAUUCGAGAUUCAAGUUCGAAUCUUAGUUGAUUCACAUUUCUAGCUAAGUUUAUUUCUAAAUGAAAUAAAUGAAGCGGGUAGCGUGCUACCUAUCUCUCUCAAAAAAAAAAAAAAAAUUUUGGAUUUAAUUUGUUACUUAGUAAUUUCAGGUUGUAGUAAAGAAUUCAAAGUGACUCAAGCCGAAACGGAAUUGAUCAAAGGUCAUUCAAUCAAAAUUUUCAAAUUGGUCCGGACAAGAUCAAAUUGUACCAAAUUGGAUGCAAAUUCUACAAUAAUAAUUUGGAGGACUUCCUUGCAAUUUAUCGGAUUUGAGCCGGUCAACCUAGUCAAGUUGAUCCAUUCACCUUUUGGGUUUGAUUUGAGCUUAAUGUCAAAUUAGCUAUUAUUUUUAAUAUGGUAUGAAAGGGAUUUGAUAAAUGGUAUAAAUUCAAAAAUAUUUUUAUUAUGGCAUGAAUUUAAAAAAUAUGAAAUAUGAUAUAAAUGUGUAGCAUACUGAACUUUAGCAAAUUGCAAGGUUCCAGUAUUAGAAUAGUGUUUUGCGCUAUUUUUGGUGAUUUUGAAGGUCGUUGACUGGGUACCGACCAAUUGCUCGUGUUUCGAGAACGCGAGGAGGAAUACUUAGCACCAAAACUCGUAAAAUCAGGUUUUGGGGUGCUGAGUACGUACCGGUACCUGGGUGAGGUACCGGUACCCGAGUGAGUAACCGAGAAGUGCUGCUCUCGGGUUUGAGUUUUGGGAUAUCGGGUACCGGUACUAUUUCGAGCGAGUACCGGUACGUCGUAGUCUGAAUGCUUGACCGAGGCUCGGGUUGAGCAGAUUUUGGUGCAGGUACCGGUACUCCUCCCCGAGUACCGGUACGCAGUGUGUAAAACUGUAGUUCGUGCAGUUUGUAAAUUUUGAGUGUUGAGGGGCUUGAGUGGAUAUUGUUACAAUGUGUUUAAAUAGCCCUUCAGCCCUCUUCCCUCCUUAGUUGGCUGAGGCUUGAGAGAGAGAAUAGAUGUGGGUUUUGCUCUUCUUCUCUUUUGAUUUUCUCCUCUAAACUCUUGGAUUUUUGAGGAUUGAUCUCUUUUUCUUCUUUUCCAGCAUGAAUGCUUGCACCAUGGAGCUUGGAGUUGAUGGGAGGAACUUGUUGAUGGAUCAAACUUCAACCCUAGCACAUCAUGGCUUAAGUUGAAACUUGUUUUGAGAUUAGAACAUGUCACGCCCCGCCCCGAAACCACUACCAAUUUGGCACGAUUCGGGCGCGGCGAGCGGGCCGCCGAACGAACAGCACCUCCCCUGUCCGCCCAAGGCUCACAACAAGAAUGUGUACAAGAAUUUCCCAGGAAUUUAAAUUCUAAACAUACUCAUUCAACGGGGCACGAAUAGUGCCAGCAACUACAAGAGCAAGUAAUCCGCAAGUAGAAACAAGUGAAAUAAAGAGAGUACUUUACUAACUAUUAUAAUGAUUCAUUUACAUCAUUUUCUUUAAAUGCUUACAUCAUUCAUCCAAAAAACAUAGCUCUCCAAAUCCUCACUUACAAUGAUUCUCUCUCAAUACAUAGGUGUGCUAAUGCAAAAAACAAAGCUACUAUACUACCACGGUCUCACUGAUCAGGCGCGAUGCCCUUACCGCGGUCCUCCCUCGGCAGCCCUUUACCUACCACUGAAAAUAGAGUGGGGUGAGAACUAUCUUCCAUAGUUCCCAGUGGGCUCGGCCGCCGACUCUGCCGAUCUCCCCACUAGGUCCAAGUGGGCACAAGUAACAACAGAUACAUAGAUAGAUAUGUAUCUGAAAACUGUAAAUGCGAUAGUAGGAAAAACUAUGCAACUAUGCCCAUAAUCAUGAAUAUGAAUGCAUGCAUCAUAUAAUAAAGGUUUGCUACCAUGCUAACAAAUUCGAUCCAUGUUCGAAUAGCAAUGUUCAAUGACAUUAUUAAACCUUUACUCUUUCCAUUUACCCAAUCUGUGGCGAGGCCCUAGGGCUCGCCUAUAACUCACCCUUCAAUCCCAAAGUGGGGAGGGAGCUCCAAGUGCACCCAAGCGCGGGACCGUCUGCGGACCUCCAUGUGGUCCGGACCUCCAAGUGGUCCUAGUCGCGCGACACUCUGGAGUACUCGACGAAAAUCCCCUCCAUGUGGGGAUAGGAUGGCUAUACCACCCCAAACGCAGACUGUGAGCUAGAUCUAUUCUCUCCAAGUGAGGAUGCCCCUACAUCUAGGGUCAACAACCCAAUUAAGCCCUCUCCAAGUGAGGAUGCUCUACAACUAGAGUCAAUACCCAAUCGAAUCCUCUCCAAGUGAGGAUGCCCUACAAUUAGGGUCAAUGUCUCAAUCGACUCAUCGACAACCUCUCCACGUGAGGUCACUUAGGUUUACUAAGUUCUUUAUCCACAAUGCAUUUUCUAAGGGAUUCAUCUAUCCCUAGGUUUUCAAACUUCUAGUGUUAUUUACACUACAUUAAUGCCACUCGUCAUCAUUUAACAUUUGGAUGCCAUUCGUUUGUUCUUUGACAUUACCACUACUUUUUAUGUCAUCAACACCCCCAUCGGGUACAUCUCUUUCUUUCACAUUAUAGGAUCCACGUUCCGACCCAAUCCUCACCUAUCUAAGUCACCAAGCGUUCCAAGUAAACUAGGUUAUCAUUUAGAAAGCAUAAGGAAUGGAGCUACUAUGCAAUCCUACAAUGCAACAUGUAGAGAUGAGAUUAAAUGUAAUCUAAGACAUAGAAAGAAGUUCGAAAGCUUCGGGAUGGCACCCCCCACCUUUAAUCGAUGUAGAGGCUUUGGAAAUUUUUCUCGGCGAACCUUACGAAAAGGCUUUAGCCUUCCUUGCCCAAAUCGACACAAACCCGGCCCUAUUUUGCCGAGAACUUCACGCCGGCUCGCCGAAUGCUAAAACCGACUUCGCCCCCACGUUUUGUGACCUAACAAUAGGAUUUCCAAGGUUUCAAAUGAGAUCAAUCUCAUACUUUCACAAAAACCCCAUUUUGGAGCCCUAGGUUUGCACCCAUAGCAAACCACCAAUAAAUCCCUAGAUUCAUGGGAUUGAUCUACUUAGAAGCAUGCUUAGGGUCCAUUUGACCCAUUUCAAAGCAUAAAAAUCCAAAACCCCAAAUUCUAGAAGCUAGGGUUCAAGAGCUUACCUCUUGUGCUACACUAAAAAGAAGAGGAGAGGGAGAUGAAGGUGUCCAAGGCCUUCCUCUUAAUCUCCUUCUUCUUCUCCUUCUUGUUCUUUUUCUUCCUUUCCUUCCUUUCCUUCCUUUCCUUCUUGUUCUUCUUCUUCUCCUUUCCUUUCUAGAAAGAGAGAGAGAGCAAGAGAGAAGGAGAGUGUGAGAGAGGGAAAGAGAUGAGAGGGAGCUGAGGGAGAGGGUUAUUUCCCAUAUACACCCCUCACAUGAUGGCCAUUUUGCACUUAAAUCCCUCAACUAUUCACUUCUCAAGCGGCUGUUACUGGGCUGUUUUUGCCCAGAGGGACCAGUCCCUGGUCGGGGAGACCGGUCCCCGAGAGCCCUCCCAGCGGCCUGGGGACUUUUCGCGUACGGGAACCGGUCCUCACCCGAGGGACCGGUCCCUGGGAGACCGGUCUUUCCUGAGAGACCGGUUCCCAAAAAGGAACUUUCAGGACUUAGCCAAAUUUUGGCUUCCUCUCGCAGGUGUCGCACACGGGGACCGGUCCCCUCAGUCAGGGACCGGUUGCAUCGACCUCCCCCGCGACCAUCAGCUACGGGGACCGGUCCUCCUUUCCAGGGACCGGUCCCUGAGAGCAAAAAUCUGCUGAGUCCAGAUUUUGCCUAUUUGCUCUCGCGGACUCAACUCCAAAGCACUUUUUGUGUUUUGGACAUUUUCAACUCCCACAAAGGGUAUUCUCUCGACAGUUAGUCGAUCCUGGAUGAAGUACAAUUUUCGGAUUUCGAGAAUUCACUUCCUUACAGAACACUUCUCUUACACUUUAUUUAAGAGAUUUGUAAGAAAUUUGAGAGAAAACCUAGUUUUUGAAAAACUAGAGUUAUUUUGGGGUUUUCCUAUUAUGAGCUUUUGGAAUGGAAUUGAUGAGUGUAGAACACUCUUAUAGGUUAGAUUUGAAGCUUCCUAGCUUCGAUUUGGACUUUGGACAAGUUCCACAUAGCCAAAGGUAAUUUUCACCUAUUUUAUGCUUGAUUUUUGGUGAAUUUUGUUUGAUGUUCGUUCGAAGCUCGUAAUCCUUUGGAAAUUUUUCUUAGGGUGCUAGAAGUUUGGAGGGUAACUUAGUUCUAAAGAAUGAAAAGGGUUCGAGGAGUAUCCGGUGGGUUUGAUCUCAUCGAAAUGGAUGAACUCCCCCUAUGUGACACACUGGACCUUUGCAAAUUGCGAGGUUCGAGUGUUUGAUCUAUGUUUCGAGUUUUUUCGAAUAUUCUGGAGGGUCGUUGACAGUGUUCCGACCUAUGGCUCGUACCCCGAGAAUUGAAGUAUUUAAAGUAACGCUAAGGUCACUAAAGUGGAGGACUUAAGCUGCUCUCGGAUUGCAUUUUGCAGAGCUGUGUACCGGUACACCUUGAUGGUUCUACCGGUACAGAAAGUGUACCGGUUACACGUUGAUGGUUGUACCGGUACAGAUGGGUAUUUCUGCUAACCCGAGGCUCGGGUUUGCUGUCUGGCUGGAUUUGUACCGGUACACUUUUUCGUGUACCGGUACACUUUGCAGUCCGCAGACUGCUUGAACUGGGAUGGUGUUUUUGCAAUUGUGGCUUACCUAUAAAUACCCCCCACAGCCCAUUGAGGCUCUCUUGAGCCUCAAACCAUGGGGAAGAGAAGGUAGGGUCCCUCUCUUGGAUUUUCCUCAUUUUUCUUGCAUUUUGCAUGGUUUGAUCUCCUCCCUUUUGCUUUUCCAUGCUCUAUGUUGGGAUUCCACCAUGGGAGAAGCUUGAAGCUUUUGUUGGAGCUCUUUUGGAGGAAGAUCUUCAACCUUGGAGGACUUGAAGCCUUGUUGGGAGCUUCAUUUGAGGUUGGUAGGCUUAAUCCCCUCUUUGCUUAUUGUUUUGGUAGAUUCUACUAAAUGAAACACUAGAUUUGGAAAUUAGGGUUUAUUUUGGGGAUUUUGGAUUUGAGGCUUUUGGAACCAAAUUGAUUGGUUUAGAACCUUUGUUUAGGUUGGAUUAGAGGGCCUCUAACUCCCUUUUGGAGAUCGAGAGAGGUUUCUUCGCAUCCGGUGAGUUUUUACCCCUUUUUUUUUUGAGUUGCUGAAAGAUCGAACUUAGGAUUGUUCGUAAUGUUCGUGUAUCUCUCUUUUCCUUACCCUUAGGGAGCUAAGAAAGUAGUGGGCACCUUCGUCGGCGCGAACGAAGGGCCACGAGGAGUUUCGGUGGGUUUGACUUCAUCGAAAAUAGCAGAACUCCACUUUUGUUAACUUUUAAUUAUCGUAAAAUUGAAAUGCAUGCAUAUUCAUGCUAGAUAGAGCCUACGAGUUAUUUAAAAUGCUUAAAAUACAUGUGUUAUAUUUAUAAAAAUUACCUCUAUAUAGUAGAGAGAUAUACGCAUUGUUGGCAUGCAUGAGAAUAGCAUUCUAGUAUACGGUUUGGGGUCAUGUUCCUUACAAUGAAAUGACUAGAAUAAUAGGCUCUGGGACCUAAAACUUAUGUUGGACAUAGUGGACAAAAUGCCAUAAAGAGGCAUUUGACUUAGCAACAUUUGCAUCAUAACAUUGUAUUUGUUGUAGACAAGUUAGUUGUGAUAAUAUGACGUGGAACAUAGUAAAAUUAUGCUGAAGCUAAACUUGAUGUAUUUAACCUAGUGGGUCAACUAGAACUCCACACGUGACAUGGUAACUUAAUGCUUGAGUUAGUAGGACAACUAGUAUGUGAUAUAGUGAUAUUGCUUACGAUCUAGAGAUCGGUAAUUGCAUUCCAUGUAGUUGACAUAAGGGUAGCGAAUGGAACGCCCUUGGGCAAAUGACAAGUUGAACAAUUGUAUGUGGCAUUAAUUGAAUGAAGCACUUGCAUGAUAGUUUAAUACUCCAAGAAGUGGAGGCAUUGGUAGAAAGAUAUAUGCAUGGCAUGCAUCAUGAACAUUGUGACUAUCUUGCAGUACUUAUGCAUAUGACAAAAAAGUGACAUCCCUAGCUAUAGUGGAAUAGUCUAAGCAUGAACUCUCAUUGAGACUUGAGCAAUAGUGAACUAUUCUAAAUAGGAUACUGAUAAGGGUUGUAGGCAUAUGAGCUAGUGACUUUUACAUAACAUAGUAAACAUGAACGUUAUGUAGUGACAUUUGGGUUAGUGAUCGACAACCUUGACAUUAUGGUACUUUACUAGACCUUUGGGGUCGUUGCUACUUAUUCCAUAUUUUAGACAUGAUGACCGAGAGCUGGAUACUAUUGAUCAUGCUUGCUUGCCAUUGUGCUCAUUCGCACAUGCUUGUGAGGGUCGCUUCCUACAAGCCGGUACUCCGGAGGUAGCCUACGCGACACAAGCUCGCCCGUGCGGGAUUGGGUGCCGAAAUGGGAUGCCGUGGGGGAGGCUCAUUGUAGUACACUGAACUCUGACAAAUUACGAAGUUCGAGUGUUGGAAUAGUAAUUGGAACUAUUCAACAACUUUUGAAGGACUGUCGAGAGGUUUCAGCAAGUUAGUGGAGCGAGCGGAUAGCUGGAAGUGGAAAAGUGCAUUGCAAAUGCACUAUUCCAAUGUAGCAUGCGGAAUUGGGUUGAUUAUGAAGUUUGAGGAGUGGAAUGGGUAAUGAGAGCUAAUCCACAUCUUUUAAAGAGUGGUAGAAAGGUUUUUGACAAGUUACAAGAGUGAUCGAGCCACCAAAAGAUCGAAAGUGCAUUGGGAAUUCGAAUUGCAGAAAUUUGCAUAGUGCAACGGUACAACCAUCAUUGUGUACCGGUACACAGCACAGACUGCUGCGUGGCAGCAAGGUCCUUUUGGUCUUUUGGUAUUCAAUCCUUAUCCUUAUCACCCAGCACGACUCCUACAGCUGGUGAGGAUAUGUUUGAGCUUAGGGAACCUGGGGGGAGCUUUUCUCUUUCUCUCUCUAGGGUUUGGAGGAUUUUGAGAAGCAUAAUAGUGGAUUUUGAGUUCAUUUCUUUCCUCUCUUGUAGCUGGCUGAUUGGGAGUUGUUGAGUGUUGUUAGAGAGAGGAGUUGGAAGUAUUUCUUGCAGCCUGGUUCAGUUAGAAGCAGAGUCAUAAACCUGGUAAGGCAGGAAAUCCAACAUCUCUCUAUUUUGGUGCUAUAAUAGUGAUUUGUGCAUGUUUUCUCCCUUUCGUUGGUUGUUGACUGAUCCGAAUACUUGGGGGGCAGCUCUUGGUGCGUGGGAAGUGUGGUUUAGCCGUGUUCCCUCGACCCUAGUUCAGGAAUUAACUAGGAUUAAAGCUUCAAUUCGUGAGCAAACUAAUUAUUCUCUAGUUUAGUACUAUAGUAGAGGAUUUGAUUUCAUUCUCUGUUCUUGCUGCCAGUUGACUUGAGAAGAGCUUACAGCGGCCAUAGAAAGAGUAUUAUGGGCUCAUAGUUUAUCAAUUUUAAUCCAGGAUAAAGCUGAAUUGAGAUUUUAAGAAUGGUAAUUAGCUAGCUGAUUGCCUUGUAUUGAAGCUAUAAUAGGUUCUGGGGAAGUAUUAAUGUUUUUUUUUCAGUAUGUGUUCCAGCAACCUUGGAAUUCUUGUUGAGCUGAAUCUUGGGACUUUUGUAAGCUGGUUUUGAAGUGUGUUAACCAGGGGUUGAGCUGAACUAAAUCGGUUAGAAGGUAAAUUGCUUACCAACUCACUAGUUGAUAAAAUUGGUUGUACCUCUAAUGCAGUUUUCAUGCAAUUGCCGCAUACUUGCAGCAGGUUCGCAGUAAGCCGUUUGAUCUUGUUUGAUUGAGUUUUUGGAAACUUUUAAAGGCUGCAGUGAUGCUCCAAUCUCGACAAAAAUGAGGAAUUAAACGUUGAUACUGUACUGAGUAAGAUUCUAGCCUAAAUUAUGUAAAUGUGUGAGCUUUACGUAUAGGGAUUAAAGUUAAGUUUCUAGCUUGUGAGAUAUCGAGAUUCGACGAUAUUGGCUAACUUUGGCCAAAUGGGUCAAAGUGGGCGAUUGAGCGGUUUGGACAAGUUCCAUUCGGCAUUCCAACAAGUUGGGAAGAGCAAAAAAUGAGUUCUAAAGGUGUUGGAAUGGUUUUGACAUCGAUCGGCGCGAAGUGGAGCCGAAUCAGAGUGAAAACAACAUUCUGGAGCUGCUGUACCGGUACAAGGAUGAUGGCUGUACCGGUACAGCCAUCGCAGCUCUCGGGUUUUGGAGGGCUCCACGUGCUGUACCGGUACAAGGGGCUUGUACCGGUACAAACCCGACGAAACCGAGACCCGAGCUCUCGGGUUUACGCUCGGUUUGGCUGUCACCCAGGCCUUGUACCGGUACAAGAACCCGUGUACCGGUACAAGGGCACCCGAACAGCAGGAUCAGUUUGGAAAAUAGAAAAGUAGAGGGGCUUUUUGAGAUAUUGUUACAAUAGAGGACUUAAGCCUCUCUCUCUCAGCCAUUCUCUCCCACUCCCUCACUCUCUCUCUCUCUAUCCCUUUUAUUUAGCUCUCUCUCUAUCCCUCUCAUUUAGCUCUCUCUCUCUCUCUAACCGUGAGAAGAAGAAAAAAAGGAGAAGAAGAAAGAAGGAGAGAAAGAAAGAGAAGAAGAAGGAGAAAGGAAGAAGAAGGUCAAGGAGAAGAAGAAGAAGCUCUUCCUCCUCCUCAUUCUCAGCUAGGGCUUGCUUUGGAGCAAACCCUAGAGGUAAGCCUUAACCCUAACAUUGGAUUUCUAGGGUUUGAGGGUUUUUGGUUGGUUUUGAUGGUUCAAAUGGAACCUAAUGAGCUUAGAGAAUAUGGAUUUAGCUCACAAUGAAGCUAGAAACCAUUACUUCCCAUGGGUGCUAAACCUAGGGCUUGAUUUUGGUAUUUUUGAAAAUAUGAGGGAUUGAUCUCUUUUGAUGGGUUAGAAACCUAAUUUCUAUGCUUCCAAACGCGUAGGCGAAGACGGUUCGUCGAUCCGUCGAGCGAGUGCGGAGAUAUAGCCGAUUUGGGUGCUCUAGGGUUCGUUUUGACCCGAGGUGUUGAAACGGCGCACGUGGACCGCGACGCCGAGUUUCUUAGCUCUACGGUACUACCACAAGGUGGGUGGUGACCAUCUCGAAGCAAUCGGGCUACCUUCUAUGUCUAAGUUUAAUAUCGAUCUAUUUGCAUAUUGUGCAUAUCCAUAUAGGGCUAGAGAUAGAUGUUAUUGCUUAUACUUGCAUGCUAGUAGCUCAAUAUAUCUUGCUUGGUUGGUUCAUGAUCUAGUAUGCAUGAUGAUUAUAUGAUGAAAACUUUAUGAUAAAGACCUAGACCCUAUGUGAGAUGAUUAAUGCUUAUGUUGCUAAAGAACUAGUAUGAUGUAACUAGUGUUCAUGAUGAGUCUAAAUGACGAGUGGCAUCUAGUUAGAAAACUAUGAUGAGUGGCAUAUGAUUGUUGAUGACCUUGANNNNNNNNNNNNNNNNNNNNNNNNNNNNNNNNNNNNNNNNNNNNNNNNNNNNNNNNNNNNNNNNNNNNNNNNNNNNNNNNNNNNNNNNNNNNNNNNNNNNCUCCUUUGUGCUUCUGCUAGGUUUUGUCUUACCUUCCUCACAUGAUUCGCCCUACCUUCCGCCGUGACUACUGGCUGUUGCUUUCGCCGUUUGGGGAUUGGAGAUUAGGCUGGUUCAACUUGUUAUAUGCCGGUACUGAUGUUCACAGAUGUGUGCUUAACCUGGGGCCCCCAGAGGGGUAAUUAAUCAGAAAGAUGAAAAUGGCUUUCAUUCGACUUCCACACAGGAAUGCGCGAGCCAGCUGGCGAAGAAGUCAGACCAACCCCCGAAAGACAUAAGCUCAGGCAUUCUAUCUAAUCUCUGCUGGUUCAGUUCCUCAUUAUCCCAUUGGUUGGGUCGGUCCUCAAACAUGUUCAGAUAGACGCGACCGUCGCUACUAUACUAAGUAAGGGAACAUCCGCACAUCAAGCUAAGAUGACUCUGAAGGAGGUUGUUCUCGGAACUUCAUUAUUUGAGUGAAAGGGUAGGGGAAAGAGGAUUUUCUAGUUCGAAAGGGGAACCAGUCUUUCUUUAUCCCAGUGUCGGUGGAAGAGAACAAUUGCUUGUUUGAAGUUCAGCCUUAGCCUUAAAGAGAGAAUUCGCAUUUAUCGUAAGCUUUCCUUUUGCCUUUGAAUGGAUUUUCCGUAUUGCAAAAAGAAGUAAGGUCGAGCAGCACUAGUUCCGACCGAGAAGCAGAUCCCAGCUUAGUAUCAGCAUAGGUAGCGGCACAGUACCUGUUAUGGAGGAGCAGUCCAGCCAGGCCGAGAACGAAGCAGGUCAGAAAAGAAGAUCUUCUUUCCGGAGCCGCCAAGCCAGUCCAGUAAGCAAGCACAAGUAGCAGUUCUAUCAGGAAAGGGAGGCGCUUCAAAGAAGCUAUAUCUCUAUUCUCGACAGCCUCUGGCGCCUCGCUUAUGCACGUAACAAUCCGCAGAAAAUGUCAAAUAGACUUCGCCCCGAUGCCAAUUCGAAGAAGAGUUGCAAGGAACCUUAUCAGAUUGGGGACUCGGCACCUUGGUCAUUGUCCUAUAGUAUAGAGAGAAAGAAAAAAAAAAAAAGGCCCAUCUUUUCCAUUGCUCUGUACUUUGGAUCUGGAAGAAUGGAUGGGCAAAUCAAUGGCUGACCUUGGCCGGCAUAGUGUCCCUCAUGAAAUCCAAACUUUCGGCCAUGGUAAUCUAUAGAGCCUCGAUCCUGUCUAUUCCAAAGACUUUGGCUGAGCAGAAUGAUCAGAAAGUUUUUUUGGGCCAUUUUCGCUAAUCGGGAAAAAGAAAGUGACAAAAAGCCAUUCGAAACAUGGGCAAACAAACAAAGCACUAUCUGCCAAGCUGUUAUGGAGAUUGAAACCAGAGGAGAGCGUUGGAGAGAAAUACUGAUUUGGAUGCCAAAAAAAAAAGCUCUGGCAUUGAAAGCAGAACCAACCUUUUCGGGAUCUCCUGUCUGGAAUAAUAUACUUCAAUAGGACUUAUUACGGAGUCCACAACGUGGAUACCAGGGAACAGUAGAAGCAUUGAACGGUUUUUGACCCAGCCAGCAGUACCAGAUUGUUGACUGGUGGCAUUGCACUACUCUCACUCUUCGUUGACAACUCAGCGAAUGAGCCUAUGUACGUACGUACGCUGUACGCUCGCUAGGAAAAAUAGAUAGGUCAAGGACAGGAUAAGGGUGACGAGAGCGUAGAACGAGACCCCCAACCAAUGACACUCUUUCCUAUCCCUAUCCCGGUCACGGGGCUUGUUGCGCAAUUGCUUCUUCUUCCUCUAGACCCCUGGGGGAUUUCUCUUUCUUCCUUGCCACUCUUAGCAAGCUGCUUUAACGCGAGUCUUUCCUUAAGAUGAAGAAGUGGAUAAGACGAGAUGUGCACUGUUCGCAGUCUUCUCUCGCCCGUCACUGGAGAAGCAGAUCCACAACCAGAACCAGAAGCAGGGAUCCGGGAAGACAACCCAAGCGUCAGAAGCAAGACUUAAUUUUUGCUUUCCUUGAUCAACUGGCCGUCAAUCCUUUCUUCGACCUCAAGAGAUUGAACAAAGAAGCCCCAUUGAUUGGAUAUGGUUCCAUCUCCCAGUGGUGAGCAAAGAACAGCCCCCCGGUCCGGUGGUCUAGCCUUGUCAAAAUGGCUGCAACAUCAUGACUUUCGGGAUGAUGCUGACGCUACAAGUACAAGUCCGCCUUCGAGGUGCGUGCCUUUCAAGCCCUUCUUUCCAUAGUGCUUCUUCCCAUUGAGCUUUCUCUAGCCUCACCGGAAUGUGGUUGUGUACAGCAAUCGAGAACCAGUGGAAUCAGUGAUAAAAUGCACUAGUCAAAACCCUUCUUCAACCUUUGGUCCUCAAGGUGGGGAAGAGGACCGAACGGAACCUUAGUGGCUGGGAAAGAGAGAUCCCGCGGAGAAGAAAAAUGGGAUUAUCUUCCGAUUCUGAAAAAGGCAAAAAUAGGGGCAAAGUCAACCUAACCGCUUACCUUUUCGUAAGCCGCGCACUUUAGGCCAGGCCCCUUACUAUAACCAACCUCACUGAUCCCACUCAAUCUUUUACACCGAUGUUUCGUACUCUCUCGACCAGGUCAUCAUAAGAAAAUACUGCAAAAUCUUUCCGAAAUGAGAGAAGGAGGGAAGGCGCGCUAGCGCGCUACAACUAACAGCCUGCUGAAAAACGCAAGAUUAGCGCUAAGAAGCAACCCUUGUUUAAGUACUAGGGUCCCAGCCCAACGUUGUUGUACUUGACUUGACUCUCCCCCGCUUGCUGCUCGCCUCAGCCAGACGUGGCUUAUGUAGUGGUCGGCAUUCAAUCGUGCUCCGACUGAUGGGCCCCCCACUGGAGAAAGGUUGAGGGGUCACCUUUGGAAACUGUCGUGACGCUUUGGUGACGAAGGUCACCGGGGUUCAAUUGGAUGGAUUCCGUGGUCGUCUCUGACUCCCGGAAACUCAAUCAAUAUCAAGAACAUGUCGUGACCAUGACGGUUAGGCUUGGUUGAGUUUGUAAGAAAAGCAUAGUAGGUUGAGGGGCUUCAUUGAUUAGUAAACCUAUGGUGCUGGUAAGGUCGGGACCGUGGUCGUCCGUCUCCGGUUUGCCGGCCGAUAAGAUCACUGAGAUUGACCAGCCAGCUGGGUUGGUUUGGCUAUUCCUUUCUAUUGAAAAGGAGUCAGCUGUCUGCGCGAGUCACCUUCCUUAGGCUCCGAGUCACCUUCUUCUAAGCUCUGCUGGACGACACGGCAUUCUCGUUCUAUAGGCCGGCCGUACUUGUGAUGGUUCCCCAGGAUCCAAUAAACCCACUUAGGUCUACGUUGCCACGAUAUUGUUCUAUGGAAGCGGGCGGGCUGCUUUUUAGAAGUUCGGCCCGGUUUUUCAUUUUUUUACUAAAAAAGGGGGGGAGGGAUUGACCUUUCUAACGCAUAUUCUGUCGUACCGGCAUGGCCCCAAAGAUUUGUUUUCGAUCGGAGCAUCAAGCAGCGCAACCCGGUUCUACUUGACUAAGCCCCGUGCUCGUCCAAGGAGGGAGUUUGCUUUACCCAACUCCCCUUUUUGAUAACAAGGCAGAAACCUCCGACCCGACAUUCAUGAGUUUCGAAUGAAGAGUGCCCCUCUUUUUUCUUCCCUAAAUCUUGGAUUUUUAAGUUGGUAAAGACCCACCCCUUGUUUAAGUCAGAAUGAGUCCCCGAGACAUUGGCUUCCGCCAACAGUGAACUAUUAAGGAUCGCAUCCCGCGCAUAUUCUACAUUAUAGCCUGCAACUGAUUCCGCUUCCGCUUCUGGGAGAUCAGACGGAGCUCGAUUAGUUUCUGCUAGACGAGGAAUAAGGAACAUAACCAAUACGGGGAACAAGGGAAUACCGGACCAUAUCUGCUUUUGCGCCAUGACAAUCUCACUCGAAUUACAGGGACCUACACAUAUUAGUACAGUAUACCGGGGUCCCCGGCCAGAACCACACGUGCAAGUUUCCCUGCAUGUGGCUCGUCCGUGCUUUUUUCCGAGGCGCUGCCUGUGACUCCGCAUGGGAGAAGAGGGCUGAACUGCAAACUUUCGUGUUCAGAGCAUUGCAUUGUCUAAGGGAGUAGGGUGAGUAAGCAGCGCCUACCAAGCUAAGCUUUCGUCGAAAAGGCCUCACUGCUUCCUUUUCGGCGCCCGCCCUUUAUUUAGAUGUUGGGGCAAGGCAAGCCUGGCUCCCAGCUCCAUCUCGGCCGGCAUCCAGCUCUCGAGAGGGUGUGGUCCUUGAGCGAACAACUCAUGUGCUGUGUUGCCCCAACCCAAGGGCAUUUGGUGAGGAGCUACGGUCCGGUGGUUGACAAGCCACUGAUCGGAGGCGACUGGAGUGCUUUCAUCAAAUGAUGCAUGUGGGCUGAGCCAUUCCCAUCCCAAGUGGUGGCCCGAUUCGGCCUGGCCUGGUCGGGAAGAGAUUCUCAAUCUCGAAUAUGCGCACCGAGAAUAGAUAUCUAUGUUAGCUAGCGGGGGCGGGCUUUCCUCUGGUAGUCCCGCUGCGGCCUCUGACAGUCCGUCCCCUCUCAUCUUUCUUUGGCUAUACUUGUAGCCAGCCAUAUGAGCUCCACAUUCAACCCUUUUUCUAUUGUUGACUAAAAAGGCACUCAUCAGUCGCCCCCUUUCCUAUUCAGCUUUGCUUGCCGCCUAUUAAGAGAAUAGGUCCCGGUUCAAGCGGCCCGCCUUUCAUCAUCAUCUAUACCAGCUGCCACGCACGACCCCAAUUGAACGAUUUCUGCGCCAACAGAAGCAGAACGCGCCAUCACCUACAGCCCUUUCCUCUGCCGGGGACUUCCACGAAAUGAAAACGGGCGGCAUCGUCGUAUGCUCGACAUUAGUUGCCCUGGUGUAUAUCCCGGAGUACUCCUAUGGCCGAUCUGUCACCCAUACAUUCAGGGCUUGGCCCCGUCCCGUGUGGAGAAUGCCCCCCUUACUUACGGCAGGGCUUAGUCAGUUAUUUUCUUUUGUCAGAGUGGAUUCGGACCGCCACUUCUCUGAAAGCAUGGUUCUUGCCUCCCUCUCUCCUCCCUCCUUUGAGCUCGUCCAUUCGUUGGGUGAUCCCUUGCUCUCACGUUCGAGUGUUUGCUCGUCGUUUAGGCCGGUGAGUGACAUUUCUGCUCAUUGCAGUCACCUCCGGGGUUCUUCGCACCUGGGUAGUACCAGGACCCUUGUGCCCCGGACUGCACUGCCCGCCCUAUGACCCAAAACUCAAAAUGAGCCUUGCGACGAGACGCGGACAUUCCUCAUGCUGCGGUUCCCUCCGGUCCGUUCCCGGGUUGGGUUAGGGGAAGAUCCGAGCGAUUGCCUUCGCGGAUCCAAACGUGCUCACAAGGCGCACAAUAAGAAUAAGACCAAUAGAGACUUCAUAAGGGACCAUUUGAGCUGCAGAUCGUAAUGCUCCUAGAAAGGCAUAUUUCGAAUAUAGAGGACGUUCCCAACAAUCCACGAGAAUAUAAUACCCAACUAUGAACCGUACGAGCACGUCCUCUGUCACCCCCACCGCGCUUACGGCUCUAUACCCCAACCCAACUUGCUCUGGCCCCGGGUCCUACCGCAUCUCUUCCUCGGUAAGCGGACCCUGGAAGCAGGGGGGGUAUCCGCUUGGGACUGAUAGAAAGCAGCAUAUCUAUUUUGUCCCUCCUGACCGAACCCGCCUAGAAAAUCAAAAUAGUUGAAGUCCGGUCGCGUCGGAGACAUCUUUAUCUGAUUAUGAGGCUUCGUCGUCCGGCUCCUCAUAAAUUAUGUUAGGAUCGGCCGGCUCAUCCUCGGAAUCCGAAAAGAAAACAGAGACAGAACAGAUUUGUUUCAAUGACAUAUCUAAUCAGACUGAAUAGGAUGUCGAAGACACGAUCAUUCACAUCAAUUUCAGCAGGCAGGAAGGGCGCGGAAGCUACCGUUUAACGAAUGCAAUGCAAGCAAGGUAGCUUGCUUACUCUCCGUAACGCGUGCGUUGGCGGCAAGGAAGGAGGCAUUGGAAAGACUAGACCAUACACAUUAAUUAGUACAAGAAAGAGGCAUUCGGGAAGCGAGACCUCGCUUCUGGCGAAGCUUAACGAAGGCCGACCACUACAUAGAGACAACUACCAGUCAUGAGCAAUAGUGAAGCCGUCAGAGGCGGAAGCAGUCGCUUGACGGACGAAGCCGAGCCGAUACGAUAGGCGGGGGGAGGGGGGGGGGCCAAGACGAGCCAAGCUAGCAGAAAAAGCUCCAAAACAUCCCAGUUUUAUAUCAACUUCUAACAGCUUUUUUUAAUGUUCUAUUAUUUCUUCAAGUUGCGUAUCUCUAUCACUUGCUGCUCCUUUACUUUUACAAAAUAGUAUGAGAGCGAUCUAAACCAACUUUUACGGCCCUUCAGUGGUUAUGCUUAUAUUUAUUGUUUCAGUUUUUACUGUUAUAUCUAAAUUGGUCCAACCGAUGAGAAAAGCACGACAUGACAUUAAAGCUGAAUGAACCAUUUAAUCAGAGCAUAAGAAUACCGUUCUACAUCAUAAGAACAAAACCUGCUUAAACCAAUACAGGAUGAGGAUUGACUGCUUCAUAUGAAUAAAUUUACAAUGGAGACACAUAUUUAAGACAUCAAGACAAUCAAGAAAGCGGAGCAAUAUUUCUUUCUUAGAGGAAAUCGAAGUUAAACGUCAAAGCAUCAAAUCAAUAGCUUUAAUUUAUUUAAAGAGUCUCCUUUUCCUUUGAUUUGUAAUCAUUACGAACAAACAAGAUGAAUAUAACAGAUCAGAAGAUUAAAUUAAGCAAGAGGAAUCAUAAUACAUAAGACAAAACAUUAACCAAUCGAGCACAAAAGAAUCUAUAAACACAAAUCACUGGAGAAAUGGAAGACACAGAAUAAGUAAACAAUAAUAACACAACACAUGACAUCAAGCGAUCACUGCGAGCAAAGAGAGAGAGAGAGAGAGAGAGAGAACAGGGAACUCACCGAUCGAGUUCGUAGAGGUCGAAGCUCUGAAGGUAGCACCGUGGGCGACCGGUUCUUCGCGAUCGGCGCCGCGGCGCCGUUCUCUACCGCAUUCCGACCAGAUCCCGAGCCCCGGGCUCGGCCCGCUCACACGCGCAUCCAACGAUGCCCGGAUCACCACUCGGACCGCGCGCCCUAAACUAGAUCCCGCGCGGUUGCUUCAGAUACAGCAUCUCUCCCGUCCCCCGCUGUUCUCCUCUCUCCUCCUCCUCUCCUCCUCACCACUAUCUCAAUCUUCUCCUCCAUCAAAACACCUCCAAAUCGAGCACAAAAUGGCGAACAACAGAUCGGGAAGCGAGGGGGAGGUCGUCACCUCUACCGCUCGUCGCGACUCGGAUCUCCCGAUCGAGGAGACGCGGCGACGGAUCGAGCGAAAACAGAAUUUCUCAACUGAGAAUGUGGCCUCUCGAUUUCGCCCUAGAAAUUCGGUCUAUUUCGCUAGAUUAGGGUUCGAUAUUGGGGGAAUUGGGGUGGCUGGUCGGGGUUGCGGGGUGGAGGAGAGGUUCGAGAGAGAGCGAAGCGAAGCCACAGACUCAAUCACACAAAAACACCCGACGACAGUUGAGAGGGACGGGGCAAAAAAGAAAAUAGAAAACAUAAUAAUAAAUAAAAUUAUACAUUUAUAUAUAUUUUUAUAUUAUAUUAUUAUGAUUAAAUAAUAUAUCUGGGGUCAAAUGUACCAUAGUUCUUUACUAUUCAAAUUUGCUUAUUUGGUCCCUAUAUAUAAUAUAUUUUANNNNNNNNNNNNNNNNNNNNNNNNNAGGACGUGGAGUGGCGAAGGGGGCCUACUAUACGUAUACGUAAUUUGUAACCUACUAAGAAAAAAAAAAAAAAGUGAACUAUUGAACAGUGUGAUUGAUCAGACAAGUACCAAGGGCUUUCGGUAGCCUUCUUUCUUUCCGAAUUUGCUUGCGAACAGUCCUUGCAUUAGUAUGAGUUCGUUGACCGCGUAAGGGCGAUCCAUCUUGAUGACGAAUUCCACGAUAACGAGAAAUAGAAAUUAAUCGUUCGAUGUCUGCUGUUCUCCCCUCUUCAUUCACAUGAACAAGAUGAUCUUGACCUAUCAUUUGUUCAAUUUGGUCGAUCUGAUACUUAGUUAACUCAUUCAUCUUGAUGUUCCCACUGAUACCUAAUCGAUAACGAAGCUGAAUGGCUUUUUUAGGUCCAAUUCCAUCCAUUUUUGUUGAGGCAAUUCUGACUUGUUCAUCGGGAAGUGAUCUAGCUCCUGAGAUAUAUGACAUUCUUAUCCUUCUCUUUCCUGGUCUUCUCGGCUGGAAUCUACAAUGGUUGUCUCCCUCUACUCCCGAACCAAAGACUAUAUCACUCGAGCGCCAGCAUUUCUCUUGACUAUCAAGAUCAUAGAUCACCCCUACCCUAACUAACUAUAGCUUCCAGUACUCUAACAUAGAAGAGCUAUUUCUUUGAUUCUUCCGUGGAUAAGAGUGCCGUUCAAGUGUCCUUCCCAACAUUCCGUAUAGGCGAGAAGGAGCCCGCCUUUAUCCGACUUUCUUUAUCUAUGAUAAGAGAAUAGAUAGAUAUUUUCUCUUAUUUUUCUCUUGUUUUUUUAUUUUAGGCUUUGCCUGUGUGAUCUAUUGUUUUCAAUGUAUUGUUACCUUUUUGUUAUUCUCAAUCUUCCGGGUCUUGCUCUGACUACUGGGGACCCGCACUGAGAGGGUUUUGCUUUCACACGGAAAAAGAAGAAGAUUGAUUGUUGUAUUUUUUGGUUUCCUUUGAGUCACUGCACUUCACAUUUUUGUGGACUCCUUUCACAACAAUAGAAAGAUCAAAUGAAUGCAAAAAGAUGUUCAUAAGCACCGGCGUCUGCUCGUCUGGGCAAGGGUUGUUUAGCCUCUGACGCUUCUGCCACUUUAGAUUCAUAGGCUUUCCUCAUUUUCUUAAGGUCUGGCUUUUGCCUUGGUUGAUGGUGCGGCUUUCAUUAACACUUCGGGCUUUUUCAGUACAGCUCCUUUUAUCUCAAAUUACUCGUAGCACGGCACAUCUUUCAUUCUAUUAAAUACCAAUAAAAACCAAACCAACAACGGGAGUCUGAGCGGCAACAUGGAAGGCCGGGAGAAUAGCGUGGACACGCCACGAUAUCCGUAGUGCGGCAGCACCUAUAAAUAGAAAAUCAAGUAAGGCAAUUGAAAGCUUAUGACGCGUACUUUGACUUAACAGCUCAACAUUUUUUUUUCUUUUUCUUAAAAUGCUUUUUGCGGAGAUCUAAUUUUUCUCAAAAAUAUAAAUAUUUUAUUUUUCUAUCGUAAAAUUAAAUUAAAUUAAAUUUUAUUGUGUGAACAACAUCUAAUCUAACUAACUACUUAUUAAUGGUCAAAAACUAAAUAAAAAUUAUUAUUACAUUAAUUUUAAUAUUACCAUAUCAAAUAUAUUAUAUCUAGUUACGAUUUAAACUUUUUUACUAUCAUAAUAUCAAAAAUGGCUUGAACAAUAUUAAUUGUCGAGCUAAAUAUGUAAUAUAAGUCACAAUGUUAUUUUAUGUUACGAGAGUAUUUUUCUAAUAAUAAAAAAUUAAAUUAAAAUUAAUCUGAAUAAAGUUUGAGUAUCAAAUUAUCAUAUACUAAUAAUAGAUUUCGGUCUAUAUUAUAAUUGUUUUUCUUUCUUGUUCCAUAUGAUUUGUCUUUUUAAAACAAUCUCGCAUAUUUUAUUUUAUUUUAUUUAUUUUUUACUUUUUAAAAAAAUACUCUUUAAACCUCACAUGUAAGGGAUCAAAUUUCAGCCUUUUAAUCAGCAACUUUGAUUAUAGAUUGGUUACAAAUCCUAGUUUUUUUAUUAAAAAUAAAAGAGUCAUGGUAAAUAAUAAUGUGAUGAUAUAUGAUAUAUGAUAUAUGAAAUAAUUAUUUUAAAAUUAUUAUUAUUACUAUUAUUAUUAUUUUUAUUAAUUAGUAUAAAUUACGUGAGUGGAAGGUGCCGGAAACUUUUGGUUCAGUUGUGGCCUGUGGGACGCAACGUUACGUGUUUAAACUCACGAGAAAGGGCGAGGAACGGGUCAAAUGUGAACGGGCCCAACUCGGCCCGGUCCGGGUUCGACCGGCCAGGUUUAUUAUGUAUGACUAAUUAAUUAAUCGAUUAAUUAAAGAGGAAGAAAUAUUCAAUAUAUUAUAAAUGUGCUGGUUUUUUUUUCUCUCGGGUCCUUGUAGUAGGAGAACUUAUUAUUUGAACCUUUUUAUCGUGUUAUAUAUUAAUGGGAUGGAGCAGUUUACACUUUACACUUACAAAAACCGCACAUUCGGAGCGAAAAUCUUUUUAAAAUAUUUUAAAAUAUUUUGCGACAUAAUAUGUCGAUUCAAAUAUGUUUCUUACACUUUAUAAAUAAAGACAACGAAUCUAAAAAUGUGAGUAGGUUUUGUGUACGGAUAUUAAAGAGUCAAAAUAGAAAAGUAAGGGACCCCAAAAAAAAAAAUUUUCAUACAAUCACUUACUUUUCCCUCCUUUUCUCUCUUGAAGCUCUCGUGCAUGAAAUCUUAUGAUUUGAACCUCUGAGGAGUACAAAAUCACACCUCGAACCGAGUCAACUCGGGAGAUUUGAACCUCUCCCGAGCACCAAAACCUUAAAAAAAAUCGCCGAGUCGACUCUAACUUGACGUGGUCAUGUUCCGCUCUUUCUUCCGAGUUCGCGUGAGCAUCUCAAUCAUUUAUUUAUUUAUUAUUAUAGUAGAUUCAUAAAGCCAACACGCUUGUCCAUCAUAAAAUUCACAACAUAGCCUGGGAAUAGAGAUUUUUUAGCAUUCUAGUCCCUAAAAUCUUUUCAUAUUACGAAUAUGUCUCUCAAAUUAAACUCGCGUCCUACAUUUUUCUGUGGUUUGUCGAAUGUAAUGAGAUAAUUAACAUUUCUACUUUGCCCCUCUGUUUUUAAUUCUCUACGUUUUUUACUUCUCUUCACUAAUCUCUAUAUUCAAAAUGAAAGCAUUACUAUACAUUUAAGGAUGUUGGUGGCAAAGACCCAAAUAAUUUCUCAAUGUUAGAAACUAAUUAAUAAAUAAGUUCAUUUGAGGAACUGAUGAUAUGCAUAAUUGAUGAUGAUUUCAAAGACUACAAUGCCAAGAGAUUUUAGGGUCUAAUAUAUGCGAAAAAAGAAACUCCUUGAAAAGAAUAAUUAAUGGGAAAAAGGCAAAGCUAAUUAAAUUCUGUGGCUAUCACUCUCUGCAAGGUCUAAUACACUUUGAUUCCAUUGAUAAACAUUUCUUAAUUUGUCACCUCUCAUUUUGUAGGAAAUCCCAUUAAUGUGUUGAUCGUUAAGGGUCUGUUUGGUUCAACGUAAAACUUUGAAAAAAAAUUUAGUAGAAAAAAAGUUUUAUGUUUUGUAGUGUUUAGUUUGUAUGAAAAGAAUUAAAAGUAGUUUUCUCUCAACAUUUGUUUGGUUAAAGAAAAAAAAAUUCAUAUUUGUUUGGUUCAGUUGAAAAAAGUGAAAGAUAAGAGUUUUACGCAGUUUGAGUUUCGUUUUUCAUUGAAAAGCAGCGAAAAACGAAAGCUUCAAUUUUUUCUAAAAUUCGUAAAUAAAAUUUUACGUCGAGCCAAACAAACCAAAAGGGUAUUCUUUAUAACCGAAGAUGAAUUUUCAGUUCGUUAUACGCGGAACCCAAUGCCCCCUAAGCAUUCCCAAAUUACGGAAAGACACUUCAAAGGAACUACUAAUUAGUUUUAGGCCCUUGGACUCUUUCUCUCCAUUGCACAAAAAAUAAAUAUUAUUCUAAGAGAAUUAAGAACUUUUCUUUUUCUUGUUGGAUACUCAAUAUAUGGGAAAAGAAAUUGCACGCUUGUUAUAAUAAUAAUAAAUCUUAAAUUCCAUCCUUUUGUCAAAAUAGAGUUUUUUUAUUUAAUCCAGAAAGUUAUGAUAUAAUUAUUCAGUAGGAGUCUACAUAACAAUUGAAAUAAAAUUUCUUCUCUAGAUAGUCUAGAAGUUAUGCUAAUGACUCCAUAAUUAAGUUACAUACACUUGUUGCCUUCUACGUGUUUAAAUUCUUUAUAUUAUGUAGCUAGCGUGGUAUGUAUACAGCUGAUUUAACUAAACGAAAUUUUAUUGAAGUUUGAGUACCAAUAUUGAACAGUAUCUUAGGAGUUCUUCAGAAUCGGAAGCUUGCAAAUUUUUUUUCGUUGUGUAUCAGUAUGCGAUAUUGAAUACCAAUACUAAUAUUCUAGAAAAGAAUUAAUGCCGGUACUCCAAGCUGAGAACAGGUACUCAACUCUACGACGAGUUGGAUAUAUUGAAUUUGACUCCAAUUUGACCUAAUCUUGUUACUUAAGAUUAGAUAUGAUCUAAACUAUAAUAGAAAAUUUCUCAAUUGCAUAAAAACAAGGACAUUAGUCAAAUUCUCUGUUUUUACAUAGCUUCCAAACACCCUGUAAGUUUGAAAUUUUCCAGUUAAUUACUGGUUUUCUUCAAUCAAUCCAUGAUUUGAAUUAGCAGUUUGGCUUGUCAUGUUAUAGGACAAAACCUUUGUAGUUUUGAUGAAUCUUAUCUUUUAGCAGGAGAUAAUGGUUGAGGUGAUGGUUGAUUUCUUCCUAAUAAUAAUAAGGGUAUUUUUUGCAUUUAGUCCCUUAAUAAAUUUUUUUUUACAAAUAGCCUCAUAAAAUUUAUAUUUGCAAAAUUUGUCUUAUUUUUGCCACGUGAGCGUCACCUGUGAAGGGCGGUGGAGGAGAAGGAGUAGGCAGUGGAUGUAGCAUACCAAACUUCUAAAGUAUAAAGUUACGGAGUAUGCCAGGUUAGAGAAGCUAUUGGAAUGGUUCCGGUGAAGUUCGGGAGCAUUCGGGUGUUGCGGUGCGCGUAGGGCGCGGAAACAGAGCCCAAAAGACUAAGUUGGACCAUGGACUAAAUCCGGCAAAUGCGUCGAUGAAGAGAUGGUUUAAAUACGCUCGAAAAUAUGUUUUGAGAGUCUCGGUUCGAUUUGAAAUGAAUCGAGGCCUAACGAGCAAAAACGAGCGAAAACGGACCCAAAAGCUGAAAAUGCUGAAAAUUUGGCUAAGUCUGGAAGGUGCAAAAUUUUUGGACCUACGGGGUCUGGUCCCUCAAGCCAAGGACCGGUCCCCGAGACCCGAAAAUGCCUACUUUUGUGCAGUUUGCAUAGUUAAGGGGGUUUAUGGCAAUUGUGGCAUGUGGGGGCUAUUAAAGAGGGUUAGGGCCUCUCUCUCUCACUCCUUCACCAUUUGCAACCCAAAACUCUCUCUUUCUCUAAAGCUCUCUUUCUCUCUCUCUACAAGGGUGGAAUCAAGAGGAGGAGAAGUGGAGAUUGGAGCUUAGGAGAAGAUCAUCAUCAUCAUCUUCUUCCUUUGCUUGGUAGGAGCAAGCUUUUAAGAUAAGCUUGAUGCUCAACAAUGGUAGAUCUCUAGAGUUUGAUCCUAAUGCUCUAGAAUUGGUUUUAGUUGAACCCCUAGGUGCUAAAUAGAUGCUCAUUGCAUGAAUCAAGUGGUGGAUUUAAGCUUCUUGCAAUAGUAGCAUAUUAGGGCUUCAAAAAUGGGGUUUUGCUAUAUGGUAGGGUUUGAUCUUAGUUAACCCUAUGUAAACCUAAUUGCUAGGUAUACGAACGCGUUGGCGAAGUCUGGGAAUGUCGGCAUUCGUCGAGUCUACGCGAAUAUAUGAAGAAUGGACUGUAGAGCUUCGUUCCCGCCUGUAGGGCCGAGACGACGUCCAAAAAUCACAAGAUCGAAUUCGAGUAUCUGUGCAUCAAGUUAUAGACCAUUAUUUCCAGAUUGCAGAUUGGUAGCGUUUGGUGGUCGAGUGCAAGGUUGGGCCGAGCCGGACGCGGGUGCCGCAGGAGGCCGAUUGCAUGUGACUACAAGUAAUCGGAAUGCCAAUAAGAGGUGGGUUGUGCUCACCGAAGUUAUUACGUCGCUUCCAUAUCGAAGAGAAGUGUAGUUCUCUCGAUGCAUAUAAUGUGUUAAAUGCUAGAUGAAUGCAUGUGCAAAUGCCUAGAUGAAUGCAUGAGUAAUUGCUAUAUGAUGCAAUAUAGUGUCUAGAUGUUACAUUCUAUUCUUGCAUGCUCCUUAGUAGUGUAGCAUAGUUGAGCUUGACACUGAACUUGGAUGCAUGAGAAUGAGCUAUGAUGACACAGAACCCUAUAGAGAUUAAGAAAGUGAUAACUUGAUCUUCGCAAUGGUGAAAUAUAAUGAUAUAUGACUAGCAUAGUCGGGACAUUGAAUCAUGAUGAGUGGCAUGUGAACCAAGAGAACUUCUUGUAUGAGUGGCAUUAAGAGCUUAGUUGUUAAAAGACACUUGUACAUGAUGACUUAGGGAAAGGUAGUUUUCCUACUUGACACCUUGCAUGAGAUCGGUGCGAUGUGAUGACCCUAGUGACAGGGUAUCCUAAUUGACGAGAUUGAAUCAUACUCACAUAGUCUGUUUAGCGUCUGUGUUCGGUCGGUCCGCACAAGUAGUGCUUACGGAGUUUGGCACGUGUGGGAUAGCCUAUUUGGGGUCCUGCAGACGGUCCUCAGGUGGUUCGAAUCCCGCCGAUAUAGAGGGAUUUUGAGAUGUGAGUCGAGGGCCGAACUAUAGGUUAGGCCAAGUUGAUUGGGUACAGUAUCAUGACUGUAGCUAAAUCCCAGUAGAGUGAUAUUAGGUUUGAGAUGCAAGUGAGAUGUCCUUCGGCCUCGAGCUAGCUUUGCGGUAUCCGCAGAUGAUUGACUCAAGAUCGAUCGGUGAAUAGCUUUGUAAAGGUAGAUAAAACCUUGUGAGCAAACAGUAAGGUCAAUGUAAACCUUAUGAUCGAAAUGGUAAUUGAAUGAACCAAAUAGAGAAAACUUAAGUCAAUGCGAGCUAUGAAUAGCAGGAUUGAAAGUAGUAUCGACUUGAACUACUAGUUUGGUUGCAUAGUUGUAUAAAUAGCAUGAUUUCAUAUUGCAUUUUGUGAGCCAAUGAACUUGAUAAUGUUAUUGUAUGAAAUAUAUAAUGAUAUAUCAUUGUUUUGGUAUUUGUUGGACUAACAUGUUGCAGUGCUCCAUGGACCUGGUGGCGAGCUCAUUCUUUUGGAUGGCUGUAUCCACUGGGAACUAUAUUUAAUUACAGUUCUCACCCCGUGGUUUUUGAUGUUACUAGUUCGCACGUGACGACGCGCGGCGCAAAGGAGAGGGCGUAGCUCCGUAGAUAGCGCCCUACCACGGACCAGAGAUAAGCGUACGGCCAGUCAGCCUAGCAUAAGGUGUUAGAGAAGAAAAAUAAACAACUUGCAAUAAUCUUGUGAUAAUUGUUGUAUUCGAGAGUUGAAUGUAAUGUAAAAUUUGUAAGUAAGAUAAUGCUUGUAAAGUUUAGUUGUUUUAUGUUUUUGAUACUCUUAUUCAAUCUAUGCUUGAUUUCAGUUCCUGGUUGGAGCAUCUGAAUUGUAUUGAUUGCGACGCCUAGAUGUACAGGGGAGACUAUGUCCGUUCCAGUCUGUCUGCGUGCCCGAAACCCGACCAAAUAGGCGGGGCUCGGGGCGUGACAGCGAAGAGGCACAACAUAAGAAAGGUGAGAGAGUAGGAGAGAGGAUCUAGCGGCGGUGGCGCGCGGCGGUAAAAAGCUUGAGGAGGCACCAAGAUAAAGAAACGAGGAAAGUCGGGGAGAGAGAUAGAGAGAAAGGGUGAGAGAGAUCGUGCUGAGGGAGAUUAUACACAACGUUUGAACAUGAAAAACUAUUUACUGUGUUUGACCAUCGUCAACAUGGCACUUGUAUGGUAAAGAUAAAAUCAAUUUUGUAAAUAUAAUUUUAUUAGACUAUUUAUAAAAAAAAAAUAUUAUAGGGCUAAAUGCAAAAAAAAACUCUAAUAAAAUAUACUAUAACGGAGCUUGCCAUCACUAAUAACUGCCAUUAUUAGAUUAGAUAGAUUUGUUUGAGCAUCAGACAGGAUUCUAGAUGAAGAUAUAUAGGGACAUCAUUAAAGUUGUAGUAUCUAUCCAUGCCCAAAAAUUGAACUAAUAAAUAUUUGUAUUAAAUUUGCUUCCUCACUGAAAGGGAUGUUUGUUUAGAGAAUGUCUUAGUUAAUUACUUUUGACUAAAAGCAUAUUGAACUUAUCUAAAUUGUGGAUUAUUUUGAGUCGUUUAUCUAACUUAUAAAAAUUAAUUUUAUCAUUCAAUUCUUUUAAUUGUUUGAUUAACAUCAUCAAUGCUACUUUAACUUCAAAUGUAAACUAAUUAUUUUCUUAAUGACAUUUAUAGUUGCGAGAGUAUAUAAAAUGUCAAACAUACUAAACGCGCAUUAAUAUUUGAAGUUAAAUGUGGGUUGACUGAUUCAAAUAAAAUAAAAUAAAUAUUAGGUAAUCAAAUUAAAAUUUGAAAGAUGAGUAACCAAUUUAAAAUGGUCCAUAAUUCGUACAAUUCUGUACAUUUUUAUCUUUUUUUUUUGUUGUAAUCACUGCCAGAGAAGAUAAAAUCCAAUAUUUACAUUUAAUGCAUCUAGUAUUAAAUAAAGUUUUUUUAAUAGUUAUGAGGUAUGUUUGGUUAGCCGAAAGUGAACCACAGAAAAUAAUACUUUUAGGAUUUGAUGUCUCAUUAGUUGUUUGGUAUGUAAAAGCAUAAUAUAGAACUUAAUUUACUAAAGUAGGUUGAUAAGAAGUUACAACUCAAUCAUACCAUUUUUCGACUUAAAUAGACCGAUUGUAUCUUUAUAAAUCGUCUUUAAUAAAUCACAUAUGCGCCACAUCCAACAUUCUCCCAUUUGGCUUAGUAAUAUAUUCAUUACCGUAUAGACGAUACAAAAAUUUUAUUAGGUACCAACUAAAUAAUACAGUCGGAAUCUCCCACUGAACCAAAAAAUCACAAUACUUUGAUCAUAUACCGUGGUUAUGUCCCAAAAGAUGAACACUCCCUUCCAUAUAUCAAAAGCAUGUAUUUAUUUCUUAAUCAAACAACUUUAUGAGUUACAACCAUAUAAACUUAUUGAGUUCAGCUAUGGUGCUUGUAAAAGCACGAAGCACUUGGUGCUUGUAAGUUCUUUACCGUUAGAUCUACUCCUCAGAUCAUUUUCAACCAUUAGAUUAUACUAUUCAACCAACCACGCACUCAACCCUAGGGGGCCCACAUCAUCCUAACCGCAUAUCUCUUAACCCAAUGGCUAAAAAUCUACAAGCACCAAUAACUUGGUACUUUUAAAUGCAUAGGAGCUCAAUUCUGAACUUAUUAUAAGUUCAAAGUCCAAAAAUUUCAAAGUCAUCAAAAGUGGAAAGCUUAUCUAAAAAAUUAAAUUGGUCUUAACUUUAAUUUUAAAUUUUUUAAAUUGAAUUUUAACUUAAAUUUGAAUUCAAAUCAUGAAUUUAAUCUCACAUUUUGAAUUUUAUUUGUAAAUACAAAUUCCAACACAAAAUAUUUAAAUUUAAAUUUGCGAAUUUAUAUUUAAAUAUAAAUUUUUAUAUAAAUUUAAUUCUGGUUUUAAAAUUUUAAAUUUACAUUUAAAUUAAAUUAUUAUUUAAAUUUUAAAUCUAAUGAAAUUAUUUUUAGCUAGGAACUUGAACUUGAACUUGAACUUUGAAUUCAAAUUGUUCCCAAAUUAUAAUUAUUGAUUGAAAGUUGAAUUCAAAGUUCAAAUAUUUAAGUUGAUUUAAGUUUGUAUUUUAAAUUUAAUUUCAAUAAUGAGUUUCAGUUUGAACUUUGAAUUCAAAUUAUGAAUUCAAUUGUUCAUUUUGAAUUGUAAGUUAAAUUCAAAGUUUCAUUUAAAUUUAAAUUUUUAUUCAAAUUGUGAAAUUUAUAUUUUAAUUUAAAAUUUAAAAUUUAAAUAAUAAAUUCAAAUUAUAAAUUCAAUUUAUGAAUUCAAAUUUGAAUUAAAAUUUUAAUUUUUAAGUUGAAGUUUGAUUUUAAAGUUUAAUUUCAGUUAUGAGUUCUAACUUAAACUUUAAAUCCAAAACGUUAAUUAUAAGUGUGCAAUGCUCCAAUACAAUAUAUUUACAACUUUAAUUAUAAAUGGAUUCUUAAAUCAUCCUAACUGUUAAAAUGGUUGCCACAAAAGUGAAGUAUUUCUCAUCAAAUUUGUUAGUUAGUCACCCUGCGUGUGCAUUUGUAGCAUCUGAAACAACAAUAUUCAUAAAAUAAAAUAAAAUGGGCUUCAUAAAUAUUUUCAUAUAUACUUAGAUAAAUGUGAAAUUCACAUGACCCCUAAUGCUCUAAUUAAGAGGUCAAAGUUGACUUAAUCCUAUGUCCCCAGCAUAUAAAUAAUCAUAAAAAAUAAUUGUCUAAGACUUUGCAUGUUAAAUUAAUUACUUCUGAAACAUUAUCAUAACACCUGGCAAAUGUUGUGCAUAUGAUAUUUUAAAAUUCUAAUGAAAUUGAGUAUUUUAAAAUUCUAAUAUUUUAAAUUUCACAAUUCUAUGGCCAGCUUUUCAAAGAUUAAAAUAAAAUAAAGAAAAAAAAGAAAAAGAAGAAGCACCUUAAACAACAUUAAUUAAUAAUUAAUAUUGUAUAUCCUUCUCCAUUAAUUAAUUAAUUAAUUAAUUAAUCUAAUGUGAAAGCCAAAGGGGUUGACAAAAUAGAAAUUUGUCGGCAAAUUAACCUUUUUUAAAAUUUCCAAAUAAAUUAAAAUAUCUUUGUGCUGGGUUAUUAUUGAUAAAAUAUGUGAAAAGAAUUAUAUUGCAAUUAUACUAUAUAUAACUUUUCAUCAUUUGGACAAUUUUAAUUUGGAUAGUAUAAUAAUGGAGCCAAUCAAGUUUUUUUUUAUUUUAACGGGCCACACACCUAAACAUUUUAAUUGGUUGAUCCCAAUAUGAUAUUUAAAAUUUUGAAUAUAAAAUUCUAAUUAAAUUAUGUUCUUUAGUAGCUGAACCUUGUAGAGACAAACGAUUUUUCUCCGGGGUAUCAUAAAAGGUGAUUCUGAAUUCGAAUGCUUUUGGGUUCUUACCCAUUUGAAUAGUUCUUCUAUUUAAUUCAAUUUCUCCUAUUGAUAUUUCACUUACAAUAUUCUUUCUUGCGAUUGAAUCGAGACUUUUUAAUAGUUUUAGAUAUGGAUUCAAAUUAGACAGGAGGAUAUUACUGCAAAACUAAGAUUCCUGUAUUAUAAGGAUUUAAAGCCAUGGCCUCCCGUUCUUAUAUCAUGUGAGAUUAUUAAUUACUCUAAAAUAGUAGAGAACAAUUUUUAAUACUUUAAAUUUUAUUUAUUUUACAAAAUUUUCAUAUAUAUUAUGAGAUUUGAUUCGGUAGUUAAUUAUAUAAAUCAUAAUAAAAAAUGUUGAUUAAUGAAGGAUAAAAUUAUCAUUUUAACUUAUAGCAAGUUUUCAAGCAACUUCAUGCUAAGGAUAUUUCCAGAAUUAAACAUCGCAGAAUUUAAGAAAAACUUGAAUUGAUAUCCAUUCCACUAAUUUACUUUACAGCAUGAGAUAGUUUCAUAAUUUUUCUUUGUCUAUUCAACAAACUAGCCAAAUUAAUAGCAAAAUAAAAUAUUUUAUUUAAUAAGAAUAUAGGAUAUAAUUCAAAUUCAUUCUUAGAAUAAAAUUACAGGGACUAAAUUAAUUCAAAUUUUAAUAGUUAAAAUUGAAUUUUUAAAAUAGGACUAAUUUCAUACAGAUCCCUGCAAAUAUAGUGAAUUAUAAAUAUAUCCCUACAAAUUUCAACUUUCACAUAUUAUUGCCACAAAAAUCCUAAUGUUUUCAAAUAUGUCCCUCUGGUUUGUUGCCGUAAAGUACUAUUUAUUUUAUAAGUGAAAUGACCUUUUUGCCAUCACGAAUAUGUCCCUCCAAAAGUCCCAACUAUUAAUUGAAUUAAUUGAAGAGCGAUAAAAUAGUCAAUUCACCUCAUUAACUAACUAGGGUUAAGUAUUUUACUUAUAGUUAACUAAUUUUUUCUAAUGGAUCUUAAAGGCAAGGACAUAUUUGAAAAUAUCAGAACUUUUACAAGAACAACAUGUGAAAAAUAAAUUUUGUAGGGAUAUAUUUAUAAUUUACUAUGUUUGCAGAAAUCUAUAUAAAAUUAACCCUUUAAACUUAUGAAAUCAUACAUUAUAAUUUAAAGUUGAGCAGUAAAUAAAUUUAAAGUGAGGCAAAAUUAAUUAACUAUUUCCGUAUAAAAGAUCAAAAUAUCUCUCUUUGCGGUACCUGGUAAAAGAUACCACUCUCCUAAUGACCUGCUAUCACAGUUCGCAAUUAAAAAAAAAAACAAUUUGGGCCGUAGAGUCAGAACAAAUGAUUGGGAUCAAAAAAUAAAAAAAAAAACCAGUUAAAAUGUUAUUCCUUAUCAAAUUUUUCUUCUUCUUUUUUAGGCCAAUUUGCAUAAAAAAAUCUACUAGUUUUGCGCUUUUGUAAAAGUGGGCUAUCUUUUUCGAUUUUGCAGAUUUGGGUCGGAUUUUCAGCCACCUGACCAAAAUGCCCCUCAUCUACAUCCGCCUCUCGCGUAUUCCCUAGGAUAUGUGUAUCCUAACGUACGGUCCUGGUGGGCAUUAAAUGCGCCCUUUGCGCUUUACGCAACCUCGCUCUCAUCGGAACCCGAACCAAAUCAGCCUCGCUAUUCGCCAGCCCGAGUGUUUACUGUUCGGCUUUAAGAAAUUAAAUUUGCUGACAAGCUACAUGACAAGAACUCCGCAGCCAGCAGCAGGAAUAAUAGUGCAACGCCAAGAAGCAACGCGAAGAGAAAUGGUGCAACAACACUUCUAACAAUGCACCUUUCAGCUGGUACUAGUGCAAUCUCCGCCCCUCAACUGGCGUUCAAUCUUCUCCCACACUAGGGUAAACCCCCACUCCCCCGAAAGGUAGUAGUUCAUUAAAGGCUUGAAGGUAAUAGUUCAACAAAAUGCUCGACGUGGUGUAACAUUCACCUAAUUUGUGUAAUAAAUAAAAAAAAAAUGGUGCAACAUGUUUAAUGCUUUAACGCAAAUGGUGUAAUGAGUCCAUAAUUUUACAAAAAUGGUGCAACGAGUGUAACGACCCAACCCAUUAGCAAUAAUAACUCGUUGGGCCCAAACACCGGCCCAAAAUGCUUAAGCAUAGUUAUUAUUACUAGUGUCUAAGUUUCUUAUAUACCCAAUCACAUCCCCAUUCAUAUCCAAUGUGGGAGAAUUAGGUUAUAGGGACACAUAUUUGGGACACUUUUGAGUAAGUGUCCCAUUUAUGCUAAAACUUAAAAAAACAUCUACUAAUGCCUAAAUAUAAAGCCCAAUCCAACCAAAAAUAAAAGAUUACUCUACUCAACCCACCACACACAGUCCAUUUGGCCCGAUUACAAAUAGAAAAGAAAAAAAAAAAUCAAUUACCAUCUUUUCUUCUUUCUUCACUCAAUCCACUGAAAUUCUAGACGAAGAGCCUUUCCUGUCGUCCUCCUCCGCCACCGCAGCCAACGAGAUAGAGUUUCGGCGGUUGCUAAAUGCUUAAAUAAGUGUUGGUAAAUUAGCAGCACUCUUUUAGGUUAUAGCGACACUCUUUAACUGUCACUAUAUACCUAGCGAUCCCACAUAUAGCAACACUUUUUAAAAGUGUCGGUAAUUUUAGCUAGCAACACUUUUUUGACAUGUAUCUACAUUUAAAAGUGUCGCUAUAGACCGUUUUUGUUGUAGUGCAUGUGGAGUGUAAAUCUUUCUAUGGCGACGAAUGGCGUCCCCUCCAAACGCAGGUGACGCGACGGCAAGGCAAGAGGGUCGUGCAACAUCUCUUGAAAAAGCUUAAUUCCUUAAUUUAGCCAUACAAUAAUAGUGCAGCGUAAAACACGAAUAAUAAUCCAACGUGAGGUAAAAGAGUGCAAAUAAGCUUGUAAGAGUGCAAUGCACUUCUUACUAAUAGUGCACCGUUCACCGUAACAGUGCAAUACAGUUCCAACCAGUAUAACAUAAGAGUGGAACACUGGUUGAAUUAAGCUUUUUUGAAACUUAAUAGUGCAACCCAAUAUAAAAUGGUGCAACAUGCAGCUCUAAUUAGUGCAAGUCGUCAUUAACUAUUGAAAAUGCUCUCUCUAUUAGUGUUGACCAAAGAUUAUAUUAUCUUUGACGAAAAUGCAACAUAUAAAACACGAUUUGCAUAUAAUACAAUGUUCUAUUACAUCAAUUGUAACAAAAUGCUCUCUCUAUUAAUGUUGUACCAAAGAUUACAUUGUCUUUGAUGAAAAUGCAACAUAUAAGAGACGAUUUACAUACAAUACAACGUUCUAUUAUAUCAACUGUAACAAACUCCUCAAAAAUAAUUACUUAACAAAAGUACGGAAUCAUCUAAGCUUGUCUGCAAUUUAACACGCACGGAGCCGACGCUAACAUGUAUAGGCGGCUAAGGGAGAGAGCCGAAGGAGACUAAGAGGAGAAGGUAGCUCACUCGGAAGGGUACGAUCCAGUAACGACGUGUUAAGCUUGAUUCAAUUUAUCUGGAGUGCUUUAUUAUGCCUCAAGCCCUUUAGAUCUCCGCUCUACUAUGUUCGGAAACAGACAGUACAGUCAGUAAAAUUAUAGAAUCGAUCAAUAACAAUAAAGAUCUGUAAGAAUUUAAAAACCUGGAAGAGAGGAGUGCCAAUAGACUCGAGGCAAAUAAAGCAUUCCAGAUAGUGCGAAUCAAUCUUAACGCCUCGUUGAUGUAUUGUACUCUUUUGAGCGAGCCGCCUCGUCCUCGAACUCUCCUUCGGCUCUCUCCCUCGUCGCCUGAACCUCCUGGACGAAUAGUAGCAUGUCGUCAUUACCUUCUUCGGCUCUGGCGCCUUCCGCUGCCGCACCGGUUGCCCUCGUCGCCUUUACGUCCUUUUUUUUAUAUGUAGUAAUGCUUUAGAAGAACCGUUGGCUGAAAAGUAAAAAAGUACUUGUAGUCAUUGGGUUCUAUAGCCGCCGCUUUCCCUUCUCGAGGAGAAAAGGCCCUUGAAAUUUUUCUUAUGAUGCAAUAACGUAUUUCGAGGACAAAACGUAAUCUUAAUGAUGUCACUGACGAUAUUUCUUGUUGAGGUGCUGUUUAAAAAUGGCACUAAUAACAAAACAGAAAUACAGCACAAUAAUUUAAAAUAUUGGUACAAUGGAUAACAAAAUAGUAUAAUACAGGUCGUAAUUAGUAUAAUAUGCUCGCAAGCAUUGUAAUAAUCCGCCAAAAUGGAGCAACAGAUGCGCCGUUUUAUUAACAACUGGUGACGAUCGAAACCUAUGCCAAUGUUGUAUACAGAGAUGUCGGAAAUGAAUUAUGGCAGGAACGGACCUACUGUUUCCCGCCUUUUUCAAAACUUACCAACUCAUGCAAGUUAAUUGGAUUAUAUUUUUAUAAAAGAGUAGUAUUGCAUUACUAUCAACUAACUGCAUUGCUUCCAACUCAUGGAUAACGUUGAAGUUCCAGUGCACUGCCAUUUUAAUGGCUUCUUUUAGGAGGAUAGAGUAAAUGUCAAGUAUGUAGGAGGAUCAUGCCGGCUCGCUUUCACCGGGCAAGGGGAGAGUUUUAAUUUUCUAUGAGCGCGGUUGUUCAGAUUCAUGAACACUUCACCGGAGAGAUGCAAGAUUGAAAUUAAACUUUGCUACUGUGGGGAAAUCGAUAAACUCAUCGAUAUUAUGGACGACGAUGAUGUUCGAAACAUGUUGAGACUAUAAAAACUACGCAUUUCUGAUAGAACUGCAUGCUGUGAGGAAUGUAGUUGAGAGAAAGGUUCCUAUAUGUGAUACCGAUGAGAUAGACGAGGCGCUUAUCGACGAACGGCUGGAAUUGUUGAUUAGCAGCCGGUCCGCGGAUGCAUUUAUGCCUCAGCCGCCAAGUUUUGAACUAGUUGGCUCGUAAGUUGCCCUAUUGAUACUAUUUUGUACUAUUAGGUUGUAACUGUUGCACCCGAAAGCACUUUAUAUUUAACGAUUGCACUACUUCAUAUUUUUUUGCACUACUAACUCGUUAUAAUGUACUGCUUGCUUUGCACUGGUAUUGCAGAUUCUGUCAUCCUAUUCUCAUCGACGACACGGCAAACAGUGACGAAGAUUCUUGUAUCAUUGAUAUGAAAGACGAGAUGGAUUUCGACGAUAGCAUCUGUAUCGCCGCGUCCUCUUUCGACGGAUUUCAUUGGAUGUACAAUGCCAUGGAUGUUGUCCUAUUGGGCCAAAGCGACGUAGUGGGACUUAUGGCUGAGAAAUUCGACGAUGACGAGAUGGAAGAAGACUUUAUUGUCAAUAGCGCAACGCCGGAGUCAGCUGGAAUCGUCACAGAUGUUGACGAUGUCCACGAGGGCCAGCUCUAUAAAACACAAGCCGACUUCAAAAGAGCUCUGAAAGUAUAUGCAAUGAAAAGAGGUUUUGAGUACACCCCGACCAAAUGCAACGAUCUUAAGAUAACCGCAAGAUAUCGUAUCGUAGAUUGCUCGUGGAGAAUAAAGGCGCGUCACCUACCAGAACUUACACAAUGGUGGGUGAAGAAAUUUGCUUCGAAACACAGUUGUAGCCGGGCAAUAGGGGGUUUGGGCGACAGGAAUUACGAUGAGAAAUUUAUCGUAUCUUCUGUUAGGGAGAAGGUCGUGGCAAACGAGAAAUAUACGUCGAAGAUGGUUCAGACUGAGAUUCUGUGCCAGCACGGCGUCAGAAUUUCUUUGGCCAAAGAAAGGAUCCUUCAGGAGGUCCGUGGAGAUUUCGAGGGCUCGUUCGUUGCACUUCCGUCGUACAUGCGAGAACUGAGGAUGGGUGACGCGGAUGUAUGUCUUCAACUACUUUACCAGGACGAGCGUUGUUUCCACUGAUUUUUCUGGACAUUCGAUGCAUCAAUUCGUGCAUUCCGGAAGCACUGCAGACCGCUAUUUGGACUCAAUGGUACGAUCUUGCACCAAGACGCUAAAUUCCACACCAUUAUAUAAAUAUGUUGCACUAUUGUAUAUUACAACGAUGUGAAAUAAUCUAGUUUGCACGAUUAUGAACUAAUAUACACGCUUUGCAUUACUUUCAAAUACUUUCCUAAUUGGUAAGUUUAGAGGGACUCUGUUAACGGCUUCAUGUAUCGAUGGAAAUAACUGUAUUCUACCAUUAUUGUGGGCAGUUGUGAAAAGUGAAAAUCAAUAUUCCUGGCACUAAUUUCUUGAACAGUUGGGGGAUGGUGUCGUUGGUGAGAGAGCAGACGAGAGAGAGAGAGAGAUUUUGGGGGAGAGAGAAAAUGAGAGAUUUUGGGGAUUAGGUUUCGUUCAUUGAAGAGAAAUCAAGCGAUUUGACUCUAGAAUAAAGGAAUGUGGGUUGGCCGAGAGGACGAAUAAAAAAAUAUAAAGAAUAUAAAAAUAAUAAUACUAAAAGUCCGGAUAUCUGGAUAUUUUCUAUCCGGAUAUAGAUAUUAUCGAAUACUGAUACGUGUAUUUUUGGAUAAUAUCAUAUCCAUUUUCACCCCUAAUUAUAGAGAUAUUUAUAAUAUUUUGAAAUUUAUAAAAAUAUCUAUGAUAUUUUGAAGAUUUUGAUGGGCCUAGAUGAAACUGCCCUCUUCUUUUAUACUAGAUUAUAUUUAUAGGUUUUUCAAAUACUAUUGAAUGAUGUGAAACUUUGUUCGAAUUGAUAUUGCAGAUAGCAAUGUGUUGACAUUUGAGCUGUUGAAUGCAAGUAGCUGGGCAAAACAUCAAUUAUCGUUACUCAAGCUAGUUAAGAUGCUCAAGGCUAAAGUUCAGUUGAACAAAACUCGAUUUUCUACUGAGUACCAAUACUUAAUUUGAAGUAGCGGUAUGACACACGCUGGGAGGAAUGCAAGUACCAGUACUCCGAUUUGAGUACGAGUACUCCAGGCCGCAGCGGACAAAUUAAGUUAGAUUUGACUCGAACUUGUUCUAAUCUUGCUUUAAGAUUAAGGAUAGUAUGCGGACAUCUUGGAGAGGCCUUUUAGAGGAGAUCGGCUUAUAGAAGUGAAUCGGUGAUUUAGAUGGAAAGGAGAGAUCACUUUUUUAAAAAUAUUAAAAUAUUAGGAUUUAAACCUUUCCAAUUUAUGUUUAUGAGUUUGAGGCUUUAUUGCAAUACUCUAAGUUGGAAGGAAAAUGUGGAAGAACUCCUAAGAGAAAUUCUUAUAAUCUAAUCUACUCUGUAUAUUUAUUGUGCCAAUGGUUAAUUGAAGGUGUUGAGAAGGUCUUGCCCGUGGAUCGAUGUAGGUACAUCGUUGCCCGUCUUUUGUUCUUUAUUGUUUUGUUAUUCUCCUACUUAUGUUUUAUGAUUAUUCCGGUCUAUUUUCAUUUACGUAAGAUUCGAUUUUCGUUGAAUUUGUGUGUCGUGUGGGUUUGAUGUGUGCUAAAUGACUCCUCUACUUGUGUAGGUAUCAAAAUGUUGGUUCUUUGUAAUUCGGUUGACGGUGAAACGAUAGUGAAAAAAAUUACAACGAUAAAAUAUGAGAUUCCUCAGUUUAAUGGAACUAACUUUGCAUGUGAAAAUUGAAGAUGCGAGCGAUGCUGAUUACCGAUGCUUGUGAGAUCGCGCUACAAGAAAAUGAGAAAAAGCCGAAGGAGAUAAAUUAAGGAUAAACAAUUAAAGAGAACGAAAAAAAGAUUUCGGCAAACAUAUAUUUGAUAUUGGAUGAUUUAAUGCUAUUAAGUGUGAAGGCCGAGAUUACCGCGAAAGAAAUUUGAAAAAAAAUUGAGCAAUUAAAAACAAUUUUUUGAUUAACAAAAUUUUUUUGAGACGAUAAUCGUAGGAUUGGAGGAUAAAGGACAGAGCACCGGAUAAGAACACUCGAGUACAUCCAACUCUAAGGGGGCAAAUAUAUAAUUUUACUAACUCAUAUAAGACAAGCCUUUUAUUAGGCAUCCAUGUGUUAAUAUUAAAUUUUUAAGGGGCAAAUAUCUAAAUUUACAAAUUCAUAUCAUGGUUAAGUUCAACGUACUACUCGUGUGGAUCUGGAUCCUCAAUCCGUUACGCCCACCAAUUACAACUCGCGCCAGCUGUACUAGCCGAGCACUUCGUGGCGAGCAGUUGAUCGUACGCUGAUAUAUAUAUAUAUUUCUAACUUUAGGUGAAAAUGUCCGGAGACCCCCUCAACUAUUGCGCAAUGCAAAAUGGCCGCUCAUUGAUCCUUUUUUUAAAAAAUGUUUUUAUGAAGUUAAAACUUUUUAUAGGCAUUCCUUUAAAAUAAAAUAGGCUUGAUUACACCAAGGCAACAUUUGGAUCGAGUUAUUUAAUAUUUUUACAAUUCUAAAAAGUUUUUUAAAAUUAUUUAUUUAUGAUAAUUAUAUGAUUACUGAAAAUUUAAUACCUUCUAUUUGGUUUGUAUAAUUAUUUCAUCGAAGAUUAUUAUGAUUAUUAUAUAAGAUUAUCGUAUUUGAUUAACAGUAAAAUUCCAUGACAGUUUUUUAUUCUUUUAUAGGUUAGGGCUAGAUUUAAAUUCAAAUUUUAAACUUGAAAUGCAAAGUCAAAAUAUACAAUUAAAGUUUAAAUCUAAAUUUGAAUUGAAAAUUGAAUUCGAAAUAUAAAUAGAAUUCAAAAUUUGAAAUUUGAAUACAAAAUUUGAGUUUGAAUUUAAAAUUUGAAUCACAGAUCAAAAUUUAAAUUCAAAACUCAAAAUUUGAAUUUCCAUAAAAUUUAAAUUUAAAAUUAAAUUCAAAAUAUAAAUUUAAAUUUAAAAUAAUAAAAUUAAAUUUAUAAUCUAAAUUGAAGCUGAGGAUAGUUUAGGAAUUCUCAAAAAUUGUAUUGUUAAAGAUUUCCUAUAUGUACUAGGAAACCAGAGAUAUCCGGCCCCAUAAUCAAUAGGAUUCUCCCAUUUGGGGAAAUUCUAUUCCUUUUGGAGUAAUAAUAUAUUUCUGACCUGAUUACUAACAAACAUUAUCCAAAUACGAUAAUGUAAGCAAGAUUUUUAAUAAUCCAAUACAGAUAGCAGGAGCAAACACAUCCUCAGAAACUAUUUUGCGAAGAGAAGUAUAGCACAGCCCAUUUAAGGGGCCAUUUGAUUGCGUAUAGUUGCAACUGCUCUGCAGUUAUAAUAAUUAUAUAUAAAUACAAAUUUGAUAUUUGAUUUGAUGUAUUUAGCUCUAACUUCUACAGUAGGAGGCCCAAUUGCAGCAGUUGUAAUUAUUUUUUAAAUAAAAUUUUUCUUUUUACAUUAUAGCUAAUCUUACCAUCAUAUAUAUCUAUAUAGGCUAAAUUACAUAAAAUCUUUCUGUCAAAACCCAAUUUUUUUACUUUUCCUUCAUGUCAUUUAAAAACCUACAUUUUGCUCCCUUGUAAAAUAAAAAAUGUUCAUUUCGCCCCAUGCCGUUAGUAAUCCGUUAGGGUUCCGUUUACAAAAUAUUAUUAUAUAUUUUUUUAUGCCAAAAAUGCCCUCAGCCUUCUCUCCUGUGAACAUAGUAAAGGGCAAAAUGGUGAGGGGCAAAAUGAUCAUUUUGCUAUCACAGUUCACACCGUAACUCCGGUGAACAUUUUUUAUCUUACAAGGGGGCAAAGUGUUGUUUUUUAAAUGACAGGGGGAAAAGUAAAAAAUCGGGUUUUAACAGGAAAGUUUUUUUGUAAUUUAGCCUAUAUAAAAUGAUAAAAUUUUAAAAAUUAUUUUUCAACUAUAUGUAAUCAAAUAAAUUAUUUAUAGUUGCAGGAUGUUCUACUACAUCCAACAAAACAGAAUGCAUAUAAUUACAACUGUUGUAUUUUCAAUUAUACUGUAUUUAUAAUUAUAUCUAACCAAAUGGCCAUAACACAGCCAAAACAAUUGAAGGAAAGACAUUAACUAUGGUCUUGAAGCUCAAAUACACAACGACCAAAAAAGAAAAAGAAAAAGAAAAAAGAAAGUGUAAUAAUAAUGGUUUCCUAACCUAAGCAUACAGUCAAACAACAAAGCUCAUGAGUAUUAAAGCCCGUACAAGAAACAAAGAGGAAUGUGAAUACAACAUAGAACAAAAAAUAGUAAGCAAGGAAACAAAGUUUUCGUGAAAAAUGAUUAGGUGGAAAUGAGUAACAAAAUCUCAAAUUGAAGUGGUAGACAUAGGUCUAAUUUUAUUGAAAUUUGAUAAUAUGUACAAAUAUUAUUGCUUUUUGUAUGUUGUCAUUAAAUCUCUUAUUUGCCUUCUAUAUUUUGUCAUUAAACCCAUUCAAAAGUCUCAGCUGAAUUGGCAAAAUAAUUUUGGUCCAAAGUUACAAAUAAUAGUUAGCCAAAUCUUCAUCAUUUUCUCCACCAAAUCUUGAGUGAGGCUAGUAUGCUUCUAGAAAUACGGAGCUCUCCGUGCUUUCAAGUCGUUUUCGUUGUUGAAAUUUUCGAAUCGACGAUCGGUUUCGUUAAACUUGAUCUAGGGUAUUUGAAGUAGCUAGAAAAUAAAUUUUGUGAUUUUUCGAUAUCAUUUGUCUAGUGAUAGAAGGAGCUCAAUAUCAACGACUGAAAAUAAAAAUCUUACAAAAUGUAAUAAUAUGACAUUAAAAUUUUAAAUCAAAAAUAUUGAACUUGUUUUGUGUAGUAUAAAGAAUUUUUUAUUAAAAUUUCACUUGAUUUGAAUAUUUUUACACUGUAAAAUUUGCAAACGGCUCAUUACGGCCAUUAAAAUUGUUGAUUUUGAACUCCUUCGAUCACUAGGUAAAUGAUAUCAAAAAAUUACAAAAUUUAUUUUUUAAAUAUUUCAAAUAUUCUAAAUCAAGUUUAAUAAAACUGAUCGUCGAUUCAAAAGUUUAAAUAUCGAAAACAACUUAGAAAUACAAAAAAUUCUAUACUUUCAGAAACGUACCAGCAUCACUCCAAAAUCUUUAUCAAAUAUUCACAAAAUAUGAAUAAUUCAUUUUCUAAAUAGUUUCUGAGCAAACUCCCAUCCUCGAUCGGCUCUUGCACUACUAUCGAUGACUUCUGACUUCGUUGAUUAGUAUCUGACAGACCAAAACACAAUGGCCAACACAACGCUUGAGUAGAUAAAAAGGGCAGUGUUAGGAAAUGCGUGUGAAAAAGUGCAGUAGAAAAAAAAAAAAAAAUUUUAGAAAUUCAAAAGCCGAUCUAAAAAUUUGCGCAAACAAGAUCUCUUAUAUUGUUUAAGAUUAAAAAGAAAAAAAUUUAAUUUUCACCUUUGCACGAGUAGAUUUUUAUCGCAAUCUGAUGAUCGUAAAAUUGGUUGUCUUAAAACUACACAAACAUCCGAUCUCUAUAGGUGUCUUCACAAAAUUGCUGAUCUGAUCGAUAUCCUUAUCAGAGUGCUAACUCCCUUAUAAGGGUGCAUUUGGUUUGAGUUAUGCUGACAGGAUGACGGGUAAUCCUGCCGAGAUUACUGUGCUUAGUUCAUCCGCUAUGUAAUCUGGUCGUUAAUUUAACAUUACAAAUCGAAUAUGAUUACACCGAAAAUAUUAAUGAGAGAGGGGUCGUGUAUCUUGCAUUACUGAAAACUGGUAAUACUACAUAUUAUGCAAAAUAACAAUUUUAUCCUCCAACACCCCCAAACCCAAUUAACAACAUUGUUUUCAUCUCUCUCUCUCACACCCUCCCCCCUCUCUCUCGCACGCCGCUCUCUCUCGCACACCGCUCUCUCUCGCUCUCUCUCUCGUAUGCUGCUCUCUUUCGCUCUCUCUCUCGCACGCCGCUCUCUCUCGCUCUCUCUCUCGCACGCUGCUCUCUCUCUCUCUUUCUCUAUCUCUUUCUCUCUCUCGCAUGAACGCCUAUCAUCUUCUGUUAUUGUAUGAUUUUUCAUUAUGUAUAAUGAUCUUUUUUCUAUUUAUUGUUUUAUGGGUUGGAAUUAAUUUUUUGCAACGUUAAUUUUUUUUUCAUGUUUGGUCUUUUUAUUUUAUUACUUAUUAGUAUAAUUAAUUUACUAGUACAAAUUAUAUUUUAGUAAAAAAUAAUAUUCAAAUGACCACAAUAAGGACAAUUUUGAAAAAAAAACUAUAUUUUUAUGUCAGGAUUGCUAAAUUUUAUAGGCUGAAACAAACGUAAUAAUGCUAUAAACACUGCAAUUCAUUAUUAUAUUACUGCAUUAAACCAAACGCGCUAAUGCAGCAUCAAUAGUAAUCUCACACCGAAAUCAAAGAUACAUGGAUAUGUCGAGAUACUUUGUAAUAUUAUAUAACUUGAACCAAACGCACCCUAAAGAACAUCUUUUUUGUUACAAAACGGCUACUGUUUUGUAAAAACUCCUCUCACUUAUAAAGAGGGAUAUAAUCCAUUUUAUAAUAAUAUAAUAACCAUUAAGGAUAAACAAAUCUAGAUUUAAUUUUAUCUUAUUCUUAAUUGGUUUGAUCGAUUAAAUUCUAAUUUAAAUCGACUUGAACUCAAUCCUAAUCUGAUCAAAUCAAAUUAAUAAUGAAAUAUUUACAAAUAAGUUCUCUCACAACUUACUAACCGUUAGUAAGUCCUCUCUUACAACACUUACAUUUUAAUAACACUAAUUUAUAAUAAUUAUAAAUUAGCCCAAUUAUCAAUAUAUCAACAAUUAGGUUCUUCGGCAAUUCAAAAAUUACGAUCCAGCUAUUCGAACAAUCACAAUCUGUUAUGUGUGUGAUCCUAUAAGUUCUAUUCCAUCUGAUAGUGAGAUAUAUUCUGAUCAUUAUCAAUAAUAUCACUGAAACUCUUUUAGGUAGAUUGGACAAUUCCAACUCAACCGAAUCGGAAUUAUCGAUUAUUUGGAUAGCUUUCAUAAGUCUCACAAUUCACCAGUGACGCCUAGUAGUAUGUAGUGAUAUUCUAGUAAAAUGGAAUACUGAAUCUCUAGGUACAGUUACCGUAUGAUACAGUCCUCCUAUUAAGAGUGCCGAUAAGACAGAGGUUAUGGAAUAACUCGUCAAACCCCAUCAUCUCUUAUAUGUCAAAUUUAUUUUACUCGAGUUUCUAAUAUCGAAAACCCUUUCUUCUAUUAACUUUGCCUGACUAAGGAUUUCUAAACAUGGUCUCAAAAAUUAUAUAGCACUAACACUCCUAUCUAUCAAGGGAGAUAGAUUCCAUAUAGAUGCACACCCUAUUCCUACAAUGAACCUAUUGCAGCCAACAUUGACCGCAAGAAUCCGAAUGGCUAGGGACCAAGUGUAUGUACAGUCAAACUAUAGUAACCUCAUGGUGAAUAGUCGAGGCGCCGCAGGUCAAAGGACCAGUCACACUACUGCAACAUUGAGUAAGUCACUGAUGAGUGAGUUAGACAUUCAAGUGACUUCUCGCAUUGGUUACGCUAGGUAUCUUUGUUCUCUAACAACUACCUACACAUUUGCUCUAGUGUCGCAACACUAUUGACUCGAGACUUGUCUAUCCAAAAGAGAAACGACCAAUGCAUUAAUCUCAUCAGAUCAACCACCGUUCUCAUGAGGAUUCAUCAACCUCUAUCUAAGAAUUAAUCACCAAUGACAUAUGUCUCAAAUUCUCAACUCUUGAGAAUACGUGUCACCAUCUUAUUAAUUGCUUGAACGAUUCACGGACACAUACACAAUAUGAAUAAAAAUAGGAAUCCAAAUUCAUUCAUAAUAUUUAAAAUCAAAUAUAAAUUUAUGUCUUAAAAGAAUACAAGUGUCAGCCUGACUGGCUUCUAAAGCAUACACUUAACAGGCAGAAGAAGAAGAGCUAGGUUAAAAUAGUGACUUUUCGAAAACAUAUAGAAAAGUAAAUUAAAACAUAACAAAGAGAAGUAAACAGAUUCUGACACUAUUAUCUAAAUUUUGGCAGAAAAUCUGACAAAAAUCUGUCAAAACAGGCCCAAAAAGAGUAGUGUACCACCCCGAAGAUUCUCAAAGAGAAAGGAUAGGGGAAGUUAUUGAGAUUUCCACAUCUUCUAAUUUUUUUAAUUUACAUUUUUAUAUUAAGUUUAUUUAGAUUUUUUCAAAAAAUUUAAUGACUUUAUUUGCUUUUAACUAUUCAUAGAUUUGCUAUUAGUUAUUAAUUAUUUUUUAAUUUUAAUUUCUUUAUUUGCUAUUACCUAUAGCCUAAUUUGCAUUAAAAACUUACUAACUAAUUUUGAAAUUUUGCAACAAUAGGCUCCCUUUUGGAUUUUGCAUAUUUGGACCGGAUUUUUAAAAGACCAACUAAAAUACCCUUAUUUCCUUUUCUCUCUCUUUCUUAUUUUUCCUCAUAUUUUUUUUUUCUCUAUGACCUUCCUUCUCCAUCUUCGCUGCCCUCCACGGCGGAGUGCUGCAUCCUCUUCCUCCAUCUUCGUCGGCGCAGGCACCGACGCCGAUGUCGGAAAGAAGGACUCGAAGUGAGCAUGGGUAAGAGUUGAGCAGACGGAGGCGAUGAUGUCACACCCCUUUGGCCGGUCCGGGCACGUCGAACAGACACCGAACGGACAGAGCCUCCCCUGUCCGCCCAAGGCUUAACACAUGCACAAUUCAAACAAAGAGAAUGUAUAAGCGGAAACAUACAUAAUGGCUUAUACGAGGGUAAGCAAUAGCCAGAGUGAAAGAAUACUAAACUAUACAUCAUACAAGUAGAAUGAUUAACUUUUAACCAUUUACAUUCAUGAUUCUUUUACCACAUACAUGCUUUUCAUCAUUUCCUCAAAAUAGAAUACUUACAUUCAUUUCUUUAACAUCUCUAAUCAUCAAAUACAAAAGAUGAUAUAUGGGUAUGCAACUAUGAAACAUGAAACCCAACUUGGUAGUCACUGUCUACGGCGCGAUACCUUUGCAGCGGUCGCUCGCUGGCUCGCUCGAUCCUGGCUCUGUGGAAAUAGUAGGGUAAGAACUACAACGAAGUUCCCAGUGGGUUCGGCCCCAAUCUCACCGACUUUCCUACUAGGUCUAAAUCAGGCAUAAUAGAAAAAAUAAGCAGAUAGAUAGUAACCAAUCUAUACAAAUGCAGCUAAUAUGCCUGAACAAAAUAAUCAAUGAUUAUGCUCAAUUGAAUUACUCAUGAUGAAUGCAAGUUCUCAAUCUCAAAGUUCAAUCUCAUGGCUAACCCGUAGGUUUCUCCCUUAAGCAACUCACCAACUCGUAAUCCCAGUUGUCAAGCGAGACUACUACAACUCGACAGGGACUGUUCUCUGGGGAGACUACUACACCCAGCGAUGACUACUCCGGAGCUCAUCACCCGAGGGGGAGCGACCACCCUCGAGCCAAGACGUAAGGUGAGUAUAAUCCAAUCCUUAACUAUAAGGAUGAAAGUUCAAUCCAUUCCUUAACUAUAAGGAAACAAUGCAGUCAUGACCCUUAACUAUAAGGUUGUAUGUCAUAAUGUCAAUUCUCACAUGUACUUGCAUUCUUUGUUCUCGAUCAUGCCAUUACACUAACUUUAGUAUUCUUUAUAUCACAUUCAAUGCUAACUCUAGCAUUUAUUGUUCUUUAUGCCACACUUGAUGCCAACUCUUGUAAUCAAUAUUCAUUAAUGCCGCUCUUGUUCUUUAAAUGCCACACACUAACUCUAGUGUUCAUCUUUGCAUUUACUAAUGCCACUCGAUCUACAUGUCAUAGUGUCACAUUGUUCUUUGUCUCAACUAGGUUCUUGUUAUCACCAAUCAUGCAUACACAGGGUUCAUAGGUUCUCAACUAUCUCAUAAUGCACUUGUACUCACAACAUGCAACAUUCACAUGAAUAUCAUCUCAAUUACCCUACAAUGCAUGCAACAAACACUUGCUCAUAUGCUCAAUAAGUGACACAUUAGACAUAAAAGAAAUUUCAAAGAGUUUGGAAAGCACCACCCACCUUGUAAGCUUGAUAAGGUGCUCGGGUUCGAAUUUCACGAUUUUUAGCCGUCUAUUCCCUUGCCUGCGGCAAAACGAAGCCAAAUUAGGCUUUUUCGCUCAUAACUUCGCAUAGGCUUUUCGUAAUGUCAAACCGAGCGCACCAACGCGUCGAAAACACCUCUAAUUAGGUUUCUACACGAUCAAUUUUGAUCUAAACCCUUCAAAUGCAAAAGCCCCAAUUUGGGUGCCCUAGCUAUAGCAUAUAUACAAAACCCUUGGUUUGAUCUUUUCCACAAGCAAAAACAAGCUUGUUAUCAUCUAAAAAUUUCAACAAAACCAUUCUUAGGUCAUUCCAAACCCUACUUAGGGUUCUACCAUGAGAGGGGGAAAAGCUUACCUCAAAGCUUUCCUUGCACUUGCACCUAGGAAGAAGAAGAAGAAGUUGCUUCACCUCCCAAGCUCCUUCUCCACCAAAUCCACCCCUUUGAUCCACCUCCAAGAGAGAGAAGGAAAUCCUAGAGAGAGAGAGCCUUUUUGUGAAAUGAGAGGGAGAGAAAUGAGAGAAAUAUCUUAUUUGCUCCUUUACAUAACCUAUUUGAUGCAUAAAUGCAUUUAGGCCCCUCAACUUUGCAUCCUGUGCACUGCCUAUUCUGGGCCUUUUUCGGGCACGGGGACUAGUCUCUUUAGCAGGGGACCGGUCUUCGAGAGCUGAUUUCAUGGGACUUAGCCAAUUUUUCCCCUUCUGGGAUUUUGCGCGUACGGGGACCGGUCCUCCCCUCAGGGACCGGACCUUCAGGGACCGGACAUUCCUCAAGAGACUGGUUCCUGAGAGCUUCCUUUCUGUCUACGCGCACGGGGACCGGUCUCUCCCGCCAGGGACCGGUCCUCGAGAGCUAGUUUUCCAAUACUUAGCCAUUUUUCCAUUUUUACACCUCGGAGGCUGGUCUAUCCCACCAGGGACCAGUCCCCGAGAGCUCAAAAGCUGCAGUUUGCAGAUUUUUAAUUCUCUAGCUCUCGAAGAUCUCCUAUAAUGCACUUUUGCUCCUUUUGACGCCUUCGGCCAUUCCGAAGCGUACCAACAUCGCACUUUGGUCAUUUUGACUAAAGUUCGAUAUUCGUUUAUCGAGAUUUCGGUAUAUUACAGAUGAGGUCGUGGUCGAAGUAGUGCUUGUUAUCCCCUGUGCAGGUGAGGACAAAGAUACACCGGUACUUCUCUAAGGAGCGGUUCCGACAAAGGUGGUGGCUACAGUAGAAGGUGAGAGAGAGAUCGCGAUAGCGAAAAAAAUACAGAUAGUAAAAAAAAAAAAGAAUAAAGAAAUAAAGAAAAAUAUUUUUUUCUAAAAAAAGGGCGAAGAACUAGAGAAAAUAGAAGAUGAUGAUGAAGUUGCAUUUUUAAGAUGAAGUUGUACUGUUUAAGAAGAACGUUGCACUGUUUUAGACGAAAGUUACACUCUUUGAGACAAAAAUUAUACUUUUUGAGAUAAAAGUUGUACUCUUUGUGCAAAAGUUGCACUCUUUGGACCAAAGUUAUAUUAUUUCUCUUCCUCCUUAUAAGGAUUGAGAUUUUGACAGUGUAGCUAAACUCUCUGUUGACGAUAUUUUUGUGUGUAAUUUAAUUAUAUAAGCACUCGUCAAGUUUCAGGAGAAAAUGAGUUAGGAUAGAGAAGUUACGCGAUCUUUACUAAUCACCUAAAGUGAAUAGUAAUGCCGAUUUUCCGGAGAAGCCAAUGAGUGGAGAUGGCUUCUGGUGCGUAUUGGACUCCGUUCAUAGUGAUCCAAUAGCCCGUUUCAAUGGUUCAACUAUCCUGGACCCAAUGACACUGACGGAUUUAGAUUUUGAUGCACGAUUUUUGAGAAAAAGGGGGUUUAUUGGAUUUAAACAUUUAUGUGUGUGGUUUUUGAAAAAUUGGAGAGGAGAUAGCUUUCGUCGCAAAUCGGCGACCAAAUCGGAUAAAACGAAAUUGUAGAUUUGAUGCCCCAGUCGUGCUGAACGCGCUGGCGCAAUCCGAUCGGAAAUACGACGGACGGAUCUCUGGGAAUCGCGUAAAGUUCGCUGAGGGUUUGAAAUUGGCAAAGCGAAAAAUUUGGGAAAAGCCCAAUAUUUUAUGUACCGUUUUGCGUGAUUUGCAUGAUUUCGAACGUCCAGGUGCGUACGCAUAUGAUACACGCGCUGGCAGGGACUCGGCCGAAAAUAAUCAGCCUUGGGGGACUUUUCUGCAAAAGUGCGCACUUGUAUAUAAGGCGCAACUAGGGUUUCAUUCACGAAACCCUAGCCCUUGGACUCCCCCUCAGCUCAGCUAACCCUAGCCAUCACCAGCACCAUUCUGCCCUAGCCGCGCACGUACCUCGGCCGCCGGCGAGCGUCACCGGCUGCAGGAAAAGCUUGGCUCGGCCUCUCCUUCAUUAUCUUCUCCACCUACCCGCCACCUUCCUCGGCCGUCGAUCUCAGGGAGUCACCUGCACCCUGGGAAAUUCAAUCUUCUGGCCGAGAUUGAUCUCCGGCGCCAUUCCCGUCGGCUCCCGCCGUCCCUGUGCGCCACCGGUGCCGCCUGCGCUCCCUGCAGCCACCCGCGGCCAGCUCGAGCUGAGCCUGAGACAGCUUGCGGCCACGAGCUGUUGUUGCAUCGGGGCAGGCCGCGCCGCCUCUAACAGGCCGCCGGUGACCUCCCACGCGCCAUCCCCGCCGUCCCCGCAGGCCGUCGCCGCCGCUCGUGCUCCCUGCGGCCGCCCAGACCCGGAGCGGGCCGAACCGUACUCCUUCGGCUCCCGGCGACGUGCCGCCGUCGCCCCAACGCUCCCUAGGCCGCCAUCGCUCCUCGAACCCGAGCCGAUGCCGCACGGGUUCCUGCCAUUCCAUCGCGCCGUCGGCUAACCCCCGCCACGGGCCAACGCGUGCCCGUGCCCCCUCUGACCGGCCACGACCUCCCCCUACCAGCGCAUCCGCAGUCCGGCCGCCGCUGGUCGUCCCGUGCCCUACCUUGCUCCGGUAAGGUAAUUUACUAUUUCUGUGCACUAUUUCGAGUUUUGGUCGUUUUUUCGGCGAUCCGUGAACACUCUGACACUCCCGGAAGUGAGCGCGAUGAUCCCUGAUCCGUGUCGAACAUCGUGCUCACCUCCGUAGGGAUCAGCGAAGCCCUGAUUUGCCUGCAAAACACUGUUUAGGCGCUGUGCGCGCUAUUUUGCUGAACUUCGCAUUGAACCCGUAGUCGCCACAGUGGCCGACCGUGCUCCGAAGUGUAAGCACGGCCUCCGACACAUCGAGACCCAUCAGCGGGUGACUCGACCAGGCUAGAAAGUCCUCGGUUUGCGCUGUCGGACCGUAAAACCUCGAAAAUCACAUAAAAUGAUGUGAUUUUAUAUAGUCACAGGGGCUUAUAUGCAAUUUUACACUGUGUGAUUGCUGUUGGAAGUGUGUGCGGGCAUCGGGUGACCUCUGGACUAGUUGUCCAAGGCCCCAGGCCUUUUCGGAAAUCGAAUGUUGAUUUUCGGUGCGUUUUUCGACGAAAUCCGCCAACAGAACGCGAUUUCGGUUUGGAAUUCUUCCGACGGUGCCUCACGGUAGAUCAUGUUGUCACUGAGCCUUGUUGGCUGGUCACCCGGAAAGUUUCGAGGGUUUGAAAAUGACGGAUGAGCGACGGUGAGUUCCGGUGUCGAAAUUGACACUUCCGGGAACCUGGAUCGGAACGAUUAUCCUGCGAUAAUCGUUUCAAUGUGAGAAGAUGUGUUUGCUGUCGAGUCACACAAAUUACUAUGUUUAGUAGCAGCGGGUGACUCGUGGUGUAAGUCGGUGAGUUCCGGGACAGUUCGUGGGUCCCGACGGAGUCCCGGUGCGAUUUUCAAGACUUCCGGCGUGUCACGGCAAUCGGUUUUGGGAAAUCGAUUCAUGUGGGUUUACUGGUGGGAAUGUGAGUUUGUGUUUCAUAUAUGUGGGUUGGAUACUAACCCGGUGGACCUUUCAUAUGUCCGGUCGUUCUUCCGCAGUCGGAAGACAGGCGCGACAUUCGUACAGGUGGGUACUUCGACCCGAAGUCGGUACAGUGGUGCACGCUCGGUGACAUCUUUUCCACCCUUAUCCUAUUAUCAUUGUUGCAUGAUAUAUGUUGAGCCUUGCACCUUUGUUAUUCCGUUUACGCCCUAUUUGGUUGUUUUCAUGUCUAGCAUCAUGAGUGGGAGUAAAGCAUGUUUAUGACUACAUGUGAGAUUUGUAACCUAGUCGGUCGGUUCUUGUAUCUCAUACUAUGACCUUUUCGGUCGGUUCAUUGCACCUGGUGGUAUUGUGACCUGCUUGGUCGGUUGGACUACUUGAUGACCUAUACGGUCGCCAUACCCUAAGGGAUAUGAUUGUCAGUUAGAGGCUGACGGCUAGUCCUGGAUUAUACCGAUGCAUGACGUGACAUCCUUGUGACCUAUUGGUCAGUUCUUGUGCAUAUAUGUUAGUUGACAUUGAGUGGUCGAUACUUGCAUACCUCCGGAAGAAUGUUAAGUUGUUCUAUCCUAGUUGACCUGAGUGGUUGGUGCUUGUGUUCCUUACGGUUUGAUGACCUAUUGGUCGGAGUGCCCCCGAGGGGCGGUAAUUGUCGACUAGUUGCCGAUGGUUGGCUCUUGAGCAUAUCAGCAUCGAUCGCCACAUACUCGUUCGCAUUCACGAACACCAGCUGUCUGAUCCAACGCGGUUAGGUGUUCUUUUCCGGAAAAGUGGUUGGACGUGCCAACCUGUGAGCCUAUAGGCUACCUUGGGUUAUAUGCAGCCUGUGAGCCCAUAGGCUACCUUGGGUUAUAUACAGGUAGAGUGGCAGUGGCACAGGCUUGAGGUCUGCGGACCGUCAUGCCAGGUUUCUGAUUGGGUAUUUUGGGGACUGAUCGUCCGGUUGAUGUAUACUUGCACUUUGUUCUGUUUUACAGUAGCGGGUAGUUAUACUCCUAUGUACUGUUGUUUACCCACGCAUCAUUACUACUGUAGUUAUGAUAUCCACGUAUGCAUUCUGUUUUAUGAUAUCCACGUAUGGUUUAUGAAUGUAAUAAAGUUUACGGAGUUUUAUGAGUUGAUGGUUUUCUACCCCUCGAGGUAGCGUGUUUUAAAAGAAAAGGUUUUUGUGUGAAAAACGGUUUUAAAAAAAGGGUUUACUGGUUUUCGUAAUUCUUAGCAUUUCAAAAUAAGUUUUCGAGUGUGAAACGUUUUAAACUAAUAGAUGUAAAUUUAUGAAUGUGAAUGGUGUAUGCAUGUAGAUGUUUGUACUUGUGGUUGUAUCUUGUACUUGUGUGACGCCGUGCAAAUACAAGGGAGAGACUCUGCCCGUGUGAACAGUGGAUAUCCUUUAUUUGUGACGGAUCUCAUAUCCUCUGGGGUCAAGGUUUUCAAAAAAAAAAAAAAAACUUGGGCACUUCCGUGUUGGUUUUAAAAUCCAAAGGGAUCCCGGGGCGUGACACUCCUCGUCCUCGUCCUCCUCUCCCUCCAUUUUAUCGUGUUUCUUCUGUGACCAUCUCCUUUUCGCCCUCCACCUCUACAGUAGCAGAUCCGCCACCCACCAAACCCGCUUUUGGGAACCCCCCGUCCCCACCGCCACAGAUGACGACGAAGAGGAAGUGAUUCUCGGCAUCGGGAAGCUCGCCGGCAAAGGAAGGGGCAUGGGGCCCAAGGUGCCCACCCGGGGAUGACGACUCACGCAGCGGAGAUAGAGGAGAGAGCGGCGAUGCUAUAGAAGAGGCCAGGCGAGGAGGGCGUGGGAUUCGAACCCUAAAUUUCCCUUCUCGCUCGGCCUCUUCUCCGACAUCGCUGCGUUCUCCUCUGUCUCUGUCGCAUGCAUCACCGUCCGCAGGUGGGCGCUGUGGGCUUCGUGCCCUCUUUCUCAUCGGCGAGCUUCUCGGCGUCGAGAAGCGCUUCCUCUUUGUUGUUGACGAUAGCUGUGGGGACGGUAGGUUCCCAGAAGUGGGUUUGGUUGGUGAUAGAUCUUCUACCUUCGAGGUCGAAGGAGAAAAGAAGACGGGCACAGAAGAAGCACGAGAAAACGGAAGGAAAAAAGGGAGAAAGAAGGAAGAAAAGGAGAAACAGUGUAACUUUCGCCCAAAAGGGCAACUUUCGCCUGAAAAGUGCAACUUUCAUCCAAAUAGUGCAACUUUCUUUUCGCAAAAAGUAUAAUUUUUGUCUCAAAGAGUGUAAUUUUCGUUUAAAAUAGUGCAAAUUCAUCAUCUUUUUUUUUAUCUAUUUCUUCGCCUUUUUUAUUGAAAAAAUUCUUUACUUUUUUAUUUUUUAUUCUUUUUAUUUUUUUCCUUGUCAUCUACAUUUUAUUUUACUAUCGCAUUCUCUCCCUCGCCUUCUAUCGUGGUCACCGCCCUUGCCGGAAGUGCUCCUUGAAGAAGCGCAGGCGCGUCUUUGUUCUCACUCUCAUGGGCGAUAGCAAGCGCUGCCUCGACCACGACCUCACUGUCUUCGUUCACUCCGCUCUCACCCACGCUCGCUUCAAGUCCUCCGGCACAAAAAAGGAUAUGGCACUGCUCUCAUUACCGUUGUGGAGUGCCACGGAGGCGGUAGAGGGGGGUUGAAGAGAAAAAAAAAUAAGAGAAAAAAGGAGAGAGAAAAAUAAAUAAGGAUAUUUUGGUCAGUUUUUUAAACAUUCGACCCUAAUUUAUAAAAUCCAAAAAGACGUCCUACUUUUGCAAAUCUCAAAAUUAAUAAAUUUUUUAUGCAAAUUGGCCCUAUUUUUAUUUUAAAAAUAUUUAAUGGUUCUAUGUCCUAUUAGCUGUUAUUUUUUUUUAAAAAUUUUUAAUGGCUCUAUUUGCUAUUCACUAUUAAAUUUGAUGAAUUUGUUAGUUAAUUAAAUAGAUUCUUUAACUCACCUAAAAUCGUUUGACAAAAAAGUUUAAAAAUUAAUAACAUGUCAAUGUACGGCCUAUAGUUGAGGCUACUCCAUACAUUAUUUCCUAAUUUUCAUUACGGGUUAUUAGGUGUUUUUAUAUUGGAUCAUUUGAGAGUGACAUAUAGGCCAUCGAAGAGUAAUGUUGCCCGUACACUUUAAAAGACGGUAGAAUUCUUACUGUUGGCUUAAAUGGGUCAGCAUUCUGCCCUGUGGCGGAAUGCUAUGUUGGGCCGAGUCAUGUUCGAAAUGGCGUGAGGCUGAGUGGGCCGAGUCAUGUCCGAAGUGGCAUGAGGCUGGUUGGGCUGAAUCACAAUUGAGACCCGUGGGCGCUAUAUCUGUACGCUUUAAGUGAAUUGGUUGUGUAUUUCUAAUAGCUAGAACAUUUGGGAUUAAUGGUUAGCGCCAACUGUCAUGUCUCGCGACCACCAAUUUGGUCGAUUUGGGCACGCGCACAGACGCCGAACGAACAAAGCUUUCCUUGUCCGACCAAGGCUUCACAACUGCAUAAGCAUGUAUAAAGAAUUGCUCAGGAAAAUUUCAAUAUACAUGACUUGCACGAGGGCAAGUAAACAAGAUCAAGUGAAAGUAAAAUACUAACUAUUACAUCCAUACAUUGAACUUUGAUUACUUUAACCAAAAUACAACUCUUUUCAUACAUCAUUACAUACAAUAUUCAUCUCCCAAAAUACAUUCAUUUUACAUGUCUUUUCAUUAAGAACAAAAGAUGAAAUAAAUGGUACAACUAUGCCAUAGGAGGUCCACUACCUACGACGCUAUGCUCUUGCCGCAAUCCUCAACCGCCCCGCUCGCGCUAGAAUCUGCAAAAUGAGUGGGGUGAGAACUACAAGAAGUUCCUAGUGGGUUCGGCCGCUGACUCCGCCGACUCUCCCAUUAGGUCUAAUUAGACAUAAGUAGAGAAAGAGAUAGAUCGAAAAACAAAAGUAAUGCAACUACUAUGCCUGAACAUGAAACUGAAGCAAGUAUAUAUGUUCAUGAUGUAUGUAACUUUUCUUUACCAUUAACUUUACCCAAUCCUCUUGGCUAACCUAUUGGUUAAGCCCAACUCACCAAACCAAAUCCCUUUUGUCAGGGAGAAUUCCACUGCAACCCGACGGGACCGUCUACUGGGGAGAAUUCUGCUACCGCCUAGUUGAUGAUAACUCCGGAGCUCUGCGCUUGCGGUGGAGCAACUACCCUCAAGCAUAUCAGACUACCUGUGAGUAUGAUCCAAUCCUCAACCUUGAGAAUACCAUGACACUAAUGUCAUAACAUUAAUGUUCCAUUUUUUUAGCAUUCCAUGUUUCUAGGUGCUAUUCAAUCCAUCUAGUCAUAAUGUCACCAUGUUUACUACAUUGUCAUAGUCAUAGCCCACAUCUUGAUUCAUACAUCAAUAGGGUUUUCAUACAUCUAAGGUUCUAUUCACAAUUCAUUUACAUCCUUACAUUAAGGCAUGCAAGAGAUUCCACAUAUUAACAUUUAACCCUGCUAUGCAUGAUUACUAUACAUAUACAUACAUGUUCAACAACGACAUAGACAUAACGAGAAAUUCAACUGUUUAGGAUAGAACCACGGGAUGCAAGAACCCAAGUCCCGAGAUUUAUCUUCGCCUAUUUCUCUUGACCCAACGCCAACGAAAGAAAAAUAGGGUUUUUCUUCAGUAGGACGCCGUAGGCUUGUCGAAACUUCGAUCCGAGUGGUCCAACAUGUCGAAUUAUCCUUCAAUUAGGAAUACAAGAAAUCAAUUCCAUCUUAGACCUCAAUUCCAACAAAACCCUAAGUUUGACCUUAGGGUUUGCAUACUUCACAUAUAUCCAAUUUUUCUAGGAAUUCAUGGAAUAAUCUAAGCCCUCAAAUCCCAAGAAUCCUAAAAACAUGCAAUUCAGGAUAAUUAAACCAAACCCUAACAUGUACAAGCAAGGGAACUUACCUAGAUCACCUUGCAACUCAAGUCCUUGUUCUUAAGCUUCUUUACCUCCAAGAGCUCCAAUUCACCCUCUAAUCUCCUCCAAUUCUACCUUGUUGGAGAGAUUCUAGAGAGAGAAGGAGAGAAAUUAAGAAGAAGAAGAGAAAGAAAUAGUUUUGCCCGUACAUGAGGAGUAAAUGCAUUAGGCCCCUUAUAUAGGCCAGCAUAAUUGCAUUUAAACCCUCCAACUAUUCACAUUUACAGCCACUCAAAUUUUAAAUCUCGUAGGGCUGACUACCGGUACUCGAAUUGGAGUACCGGUACGUGAGCCCCCCAGUACUGGUACCGGGUACCUCAACCCGAGAGCAAACAUUUUGGGUUUUAUAUAGGGUUCCGGUACGCGCCACCCAAUACCGAUACACGACCUCCAGUACCGGUACCCGCUACGCAGUACCGGUAUGCCCCAAGGCAGCAACCAAACCCGAGAGCUGGCUAUUCGAGUAAUCAACUGAGUACCGGUACUCAACCUCCAGUACCGGUACGCAGCCUGUAUAGUACCGGUACCCCCAGCUCAGUAGCUCAACCCAAGAGUUGGUAAUUUUUCAUUUGUAUUGGGUACCGGUACCCCAUUCUUGGUUUCGAUACUCAAUGUAAUUUCUACAAUUUCAGCAGACUUAACACUUCAUAGCCCGUUUUCGUACCCGGUUUGUGUCGAAAAUACUCAAAUACUCUCGAAAGUCACUUCUAACCAUCCCAACGCCUUCAAGGCAACUUGGGGACUUUGCUUAUCACCCUCAUACCACACUUUGAUCACUUUGAUCAAAGUUACCAUACGAUUCGGGAAUUUGGUAUAUUACACCAACGAUCCGACAAGUGGUAUCACAGCCAGAGGUCACGGGUUCGAUUUUCGCAUACUGCAAAUAUAUGCAGGUGCUGAAGGGGUCAUUGUUGGCUUAAAUGGUCCAGCAUCCUGCCCUGUAGCGGGAGGCUAUGUUGGGCCGAGUCAUGUUCAAAAUGGCGUGAGGCUGGGUGGGCCAAGUCAUGUUCGAAGUGGCGUGAGGUUGGUUUGGCCGAGUCACAAUCGAGACCCGUGGGCAUUGUAUCUGUACGUUUUAAGUGAAUUAAUUGAGUAUUUCUAACAGCACGAGUUUUUGGGAUUAAUGAUUAGUGCCAACGAUCCGACACUUGCACUAUCUUUAUUUAAAGGCCAAUUGUAGUAUCCCUGGUUUGUGGGUUGCUGUGGAUCUAAGCAUCUGAGGCUUGUCGACAUAUCUGGAGAGUGUCAGGACAAGUUGGAGUUGUUUUGGCACAAAAUGGACGCAAAACGGACUCAGUGCGACGCGAGAGCAGAGUUUUGACAUUGAAAUGUACAAAGUGCAGGUUGUCAGUGUUGAGUACCGGUACCAUAUAGGGGAGUAUCGAUACCCCAGUGUAAUUUUAGAAUAGACUGCUCUCAAGUUACGCUAUUUGAUACUGAGUACCGGUACGACAUCGGGCUCGUACCGGUACCCUGUGUGCGAGGUUGCUGGCGGAGAGGCCGAGUACCGGUAACCAAAUCGAGUACCGGUACUCCAAUGGCUUGUUGAGUUGGUGGGGGGUAGUAUUAUCUUUUUGGUUGGUGGUUAUCCACACCACCUACUCCCCCUCAUAUUUAUCUACCUGAGAGAGAAUAAUUAUCUCAUGUUCCUCUUUAGUUUGAUCGUGUGCUUGGUGGAGGCCGUGGCCCGAGCUCGGGAGAUUUUCGACGUCGAUUCGGAGGGCCAUUCGAGUGUCCGUGCGUCGCGGUUGCGUCGUUGAAGGCCGGGUGAGCGCGUGAUUUCCUCUCCUUUCGACUUCUCGCCAUAGUUGAACGAGCUUUUCGAGGUGGGUUGAAGUUUAUCGAAAUCGCCGGAAUGCCUCCUAAGUUUCUAUAUUGUCAACAUGUAUCAUUUGUUUAUUUUCUUGCUAGUACUUGAAUUCAUGGAUUAGAGUUAAAAUAUGAAUUUGGAGUUAAGCUAGUAGUAUAAUUUUACAUGUUGGACUUGGAAUUGACUUAGGAGAAAACAUAUAGAUUCUACACUGUCACUUUUUGAAAAUUACCAGAUUUAGUUUUAGGAGCUGUGGUUCAUUUGUAUCACCGCUGUUCGUAUGCGAUGGAUACCCAGAAUAGUGUAGAAUAAAUUUACACUCGUGCUGGGAUGCCGAGUUUAUUUUACAAUAGUGUGUAGACUGUUUCGGACUGUCGGGUGCCGUCACGACUAACGGUGGACCCAGAUUGCUGUUUUUGCAUCGGAUUGUGCCAAGGGCACGUGAGUUUUGGUUGUAGGAUCAGUUAGACCCUUUUGCUUUGAUUAUAGCCUGGGAGAGCUUAAUUGAGCUCGGCAUAGACACGCUUGUAUACUCGAUUAGGUAGCGCCCACGAGUGCCACUCCGGAGUCGGGCUUAGUGCUUUUGUGUUGAUGUCGUAGUGUCCUGGUUGGACUUGCUUUCCACCAACAACCCAGCGUGGUGGUGGUUGCUGUAGCUUCGACAGGCGGGACGGGUGUGUUCACAGUCCCUAGCGAGAUUGGGUUAGAGAGUGCAUUUCUAUAUUUACAGAUAGUAGUUAGCGAUAGUAUAGUGGCCUAUAGCUAUAGAGUUUUACCAGCAUUCUUUACUAUCCUUGUAUAUAUUUUCUGUAGACUUAGUGGGUGAGCCGUUGAGGUCUGUAGCGGUACCCAUUGAGGACUACUUUUUGCAGUCGUUCUCACACCCAGUUGUUGACCCCUUUUUGCAGAGCCUUCUUCUGCGGCUGCUGCUGUCGUCGAUACUGAUCGUGGAAGGGGAGUUGCGACCUAGAUCCCUUCCCUGGUUGCAGUUCUAGAGGAGUACCAUCUACAGGUAGUUUUGAAUUUUUGGUUCAUGUACAUACUUAUACUGGUACUCGUUGGAGCGAGUGAUGUCUGUAUUUUGGAGACUAUGUAUGUAUAGUGAAUCUGAUGUUUAUUUAUAUAUGUUUACAGUUUUGUUAGUAGCUCUAUACUACUAGUUAUAGUUUUGUAUGAUUACAGGUACAGGUACAGCUAUCGCUUCGUAUACAGAGAAAAUUUUUUUGUAUACGGCGGGUCUGUUUGUGUGCCCGGAGAAAUAUGGUAAUCCGGGACGUGGCAGAUUAAGUUGGUAUCGGAGAUUAGUAUUAGGUUGUUGGGACCUAGAAAACUUUAAGCUUGGCAAAGCUUAGGAAUGCAAGACACGAGAGGCGUGAUUUAUCGCGAAAGUCAACAUUUGAAUUGUUUUUAACUCAUCCUAGAGUAGAGUGAGUGACUGAAGGAGUGUCUGUUUCGGCCAAGAAAAUUAUGUCGGCUAUAGACAGCAUAAUUUUGAGGAGAAACAGGGGUGGCCUUCUAGACUUUCGCUUGAUUGGGUCGAGAGUUGAUUGUGUUGUGUAUCUGACCCUUUUUUUGAUUUCAGGUAGCCAUGUAUCAACGCUGAGGUCGACCGUCGACGCGGGACCGUUUUGCACUAACUGAGAUGCCUGAGUAGGUAGGGCUGAGCGCACCCCUUGAUCUGAGAGAGCAGUUGGCUGCUCUGACUGAGGUGACGAGGCAGCAGGGGGCAUUGUUACAGAGGAUGUGUGAGACAUUUACUCCGCCGUUGAGCACAGCGCCUAGAGCACCAGAGUAGUCAGCACCACCACCCACUAUUCCCGUGGCCGCACCAGCCACAGCUGUACCCCCGCCGGUGACAGUUCCUACGGUGCCAGCUAUAUUCUCUGGAGAGGCGUCGUAUAUGUCUGAGGCUGAGCAGGAGCGGAUGACUGAGAGGCUUGCUCGUUUUUGUCAGUUUGAUCCGCCGAGCUUUGACGGCAGCUGUACGGAGCCCUGGGUUGUAAAGGGCUGGGUGAGCGCGAUGGAGAAGUUAUUUGAGGACUUGUUCAUACCGGAGUGGGAGCAGGUACAUCUGGGAGUGCAUUGUUUGGCUUGCGAUGCGCAUUCUUGGUGGAAUAGGAUGAGGGAGACUCGACGGUUUGUGGCGUUGCAGAUGAAGUAGGAUGAGUUCUGUGGAAUGCUGUACGAGGAGUACUUCCCAAACAGUGUGAAGCAGAAACUUGAGGAGGGCCUGAAGAAGCUAUAGCACGGGGAGCGAUCAGUUCAAGAGUAUACCCGUGAGUUUACGUGACUUCUGAACUGUGUGCCAUUUGUAGCCAGGGAUGAGGCCCACAUGGUAUAUUUGUAUGAGGGGGGCUUGAGGCUAGAGAUCUUUUGGUUGGUACAGGCGCAGAGGUUGUGGACCUUGGAUGCAUCGAUUGAGCAUGCAUUGUGGGUGGAGAGAGGAGAUGUAUCGAUCCAUGAGCGGGCUCAGGUGCUGCGGCAGAGUCAGGAUAGGAAGCGCCCGGUUCCAGAUGAUGGAGGAAAGUCGAGCAGCAGGCGUCCGCCAAGGCCUCCACGAUCACGUUCUCAGGGUCGUGGGUCUUCGGGGCGACAAUGUUCUGGGGGACCUCAUCAGUAGAGGCAGUCGCAGGGGACUCCGUGGUGUGUGAUUUGUGGGGGACCACACUGGCCCCGACAGUGUGAGCAGCGGAAGAGCCGAUGUUUCACUUGUGGACAACCGGGACAUAUGAGGGCAGCUUGCCCUCGAGCAGCAUCACCAGCACCAUCGACGGUGUUAGCACAGCCGGCACCUCAGCAGUCUCAUGGAGCAUUAUCGAGCUACCGUGAGGAGGACAGAGCAACUGUGCCGCGACAGAGUGAGCGGCGACAGCAGGCCCCGAGUGGCAGAGUGUACACAGCUCAGGUGGAGGACUCUACAGCAGCAGACCGGGUGGUGGCAAGUGUCAUUUUGAUUUCUAGUAUUAGAGCUCGUACAUUAUUUGAUACCGGCGCAUCACAUUCUUUUGUUAACCGAGCAUUUGCAUCAUUAUAUGGUCUAGAGGUAGGGCCGUUGUUGCAUGCACGAGAGGUGCAGAUUUUUGACCAUAUUUUGCAGGUAGAGGAGUGUUGUUGGUCGUGUCCGGUGCAGUUGGGCUCUUAGAUUAUGCCCACAGACCUGUUGGUCUAAAGGCAGCUGCAGGACUUUGAUGUUGUGCUUGGCAUGGAUUGGCUGGCGCGGUACUAUGCUACGAUCCACUGUAGAGCGAAGACAGUGACGUUCCGCGAGCCAGGCCAGGAGGUGUUCACGUACAGGGGCUGCAGGAGUACGUUGUUUGCCACUUGGAUCUCGUCUGCGAGGGCUAGGCAAUUGUUGAGUAGAGGAUGCAUCGCUUUUCUAGUGACGGUUGUAGAGGUGCCUAUGGCGGUGUCGGGACUCGAGGAUAUUCCUAUAGUCCGCGAGUUUCCGGAUGUGUUUCUCUCGGAGUUCACGACUAUGCCGCCGGAUAGAGAUAUUGAGUUUGUGAUUGACGUAGUUCCUGAAACUGCGCCAAUCUUUAAGGCACCCUACCGGAUGGCAUCGGCAGAGCUGAGAGAGUUGAAGGCGCAACUUUAGGAUUUGAUGGAUAAGGGGUGUGAGAUCCAGUGUAUCGCCUUGGGGGCGCCGGUGUUAUUCAUAAAGAAGAAUGAUGGUUCACUUAGACUAUGUGUGGAUUAUCGAGAGCUAAAUAAAGUGACCAUCAAGAACAUGUAUCCUUUGCCACGCAGUGAUGAUAUGUUUGAUUAGCUACCAGGAUCUUGUGUCUUUUCGAAGAUUGAUUUCCAGUUAGGUUACCACCAGUUGAGGGUGAGGGCCGAGGAUGUUUCCAAGACGGCUUUUCGGACUCGGUACGGGCAUUAUGAGUUCAUUGUGAUGCCUUUUGGAUUGACGAAUGCCCCUGCCGUAUUUAUGGAUUUGAUAAACAGAGUGUUUAAGCCGUACUUGGAUAGAUUCGUAGUUGUAUUCAUUGAUAAUAUUUUGAUAUACUCCCGGAGUGAUGUUAAGCAUGAGGAACACUUGAGGAUAGUGUUACAGCUUCUGAGGGAGAAGAAGUUGUAUGCUAAAUUGAAGAAGUGCGAGUUUUGGCUGCGGGAGGUUUCUUUCUUAGGCCAUGUGAUUUCUGCAGUUGGAGUAGCAGUGAACCCGAAGAAGAUUGAUGCUAUUGGCAUUACUUGUAUUACGAGCACUGCGAGAUUUUUACAGAUCAUGAUAAGAGUCUCAAGUAUCUGUUCACCCAAAAGUAGUUAAACCUGAGGCAACGCCGAUGGUUAGAGUUAUUGAAGGACUAUGAUGUUAGUAUUUAGUAUCACCCUGGCAAGGCAAAUGUAGUGGCAGAUGCGUUGAGCAGGAAGUCAGUGUAGAGCUUGAGCAUGUUGAUUACUUAGUAGAGGCCGUUACUUGAGGAGUUGCAGUAGUUGAGGCUUGAGAUAGUGUCCUCUGGGUCUACUACAAGACUGAUGUCUAUGGUUUUGCAGCCCACUCUGUUGGAUAGAAUUAGGGAGAAACAGAGUGGAGACACUCAUUUGUUGAGGAUUCUAGAGCAGUUAGAGAGGGGAUAGGCGGAGGCCUUUCCAGUAGACAGUUCGGGAGUACUGUGGUACAGGGACCGGCUGUGUGUGCCUAUGAAUUCAGAGAGAUCUGAGAGAAUUUUGAGAGAGGCUCAUUACUCACCUUAUAUGGUUCACCUCGGUGGAACCAAGAUGUAUAAG
rnacentral:lncRNA from 1 species